rnacentral:lncRNA from 1 species
UUUUUUUUUUUUUUUUUGCGUUGGUGGUAUUGGUCUCUCCGUCCUGUACUACUGUAGCAUCUAGGAGACGUGAAAAAUUAUAGCUAAGAACAAAAGUUACACAAUUUAUUUGAUGGUUAUUAUUCUGGGCUGUAUUAGAAAAAAAUUUCUAAUUGAUAAGAUGUAUUUAUUAUAUAUAUGGUCUUAAUAAUAAUGUUGGCUGACCAAAGCCGUCCUAUCGGGAUCACGUAUGUACAAUUCUCAUACAUAAUAAACUGUACCGAGACUAUAUAAUAAAUACAGGUUGACCAAGGCCGUCCUAUCGGGAUCACAUACAUUCUCGUACAUAAUUCUCGUACCAAGACUAUAUUAUCAAUUAGAAAAGUUUUUCUAAUACAGGCCAGAAUAAUAACCAUCAAAUAAAUUGUGUAACUUUUGUUCUUAGCUAUAAUUUUUCUAAUUGAUAAGAUGUAUUUAUUAUAUAGUCUUGGUACGAGAAUUAUGUACGAGAAUUGUAUUUAUUACAUAGUCUUGGUACAUUUUUUAUGUACGAGAAUUGUACGUACGUGAUCCCGAUAGGACGGCCUUGAUCAGCCAACAUUAUUAUUAAGACCGUAUAAUAAAUACAUCUUAUCAAUUAGAAAAGUUUUUCUAAUACAGUCUAGAAUAAUAAGCAUCAAAUAAACUGUGUAACUUUUGUUCUUAGCUAUAAUUUUUCACGUCUCCUGGAUGCCAGAUGCCUCAACUUUUGAACAUGGGCGCACGUACGUCUCCAUAUUUUCACGCAUACACAGACGUGGGCAGGCCCGUUCUUGGAUAAUCGACCAAAUGUUGGAGUAAUAAUUAGUUACUCCCUGUCCGGAAGUAUAAGCUAGUUUUAGUCUGUCUUAAGUUAAAUUAUUUUAAAUUUGAUCAAAUUCGUAGGAAAAGGUAUACACCGUGCAUAUAAAAUGUUGAUCUGGUGAUAAUAAUUUAAUUUGCUGCUAUAGAUCUUAAUAUAUUUCAGAUAAAUUUGGUUAGACUUAUAUCUGAACAUGAAACCCGAUCAUCAUCUCUGUUGAGUAAUACUGUUAAUAACUUGGUUACGACGUGCUAAUGAUUAAUAAGAAAGGCGGAAAAAACAGUAAUCAUGCUAGAGUUGGGUGUGUAAGUAAGAUACACAUAAGCUCGAUAGUUGGACAUGCAUGUCGGCCACUAUAUACAUGUUAAUAAUAUAUAUGCAUGGCUUGAAAUAGUAAACAUAUGUAUAGAUUUCUCUCCAUCCAACUGUUGAUCCAUACCCCAUAUAUUUCUCACCUACUCAUAAUUCAUCUCACAUUGAUUCAAAAAUGAAUGGUUUGGAUAACUCAUGUGUUCAUGUAUCCAUGUUCGUACAUGUAUAGGACUAUAUGUCACGGUCUCGAUGAAAUGAGUCGCGUGCGCGCUCGUGCACUAGCACUACCCACAGACUUACGCGGAGACAGCAUAACACAAUGCCGUCAAGUCGAUGGAUCAAUCCUCGCACGCACCGUAAACAUGUUGGAUGUCGCUAGGGAACGUAUAUGCACGAUCGAUGCGCAUCCAUCACCGACGUCGUCGUACGUGGCGAGCAUUUGAAUUUGAUGCACACUGUCCUGCCUGCCUAGCCUAUAGCCUAAAAGCAGCUUGGUAGUGGUGGUCCGUCCUUGCAUGGAUUCGUCGAUCGACCACACACACAUGACACAUGCAUGUGCAAGCAUGUCGACACUUCUCGCGCGCACACUAUAGCUUGCUGCUGCUGUCCGGUGAUCGAUCGAUCGAUCGAUCGAUCCGACCCAUCAUCGACCUCUCGACGACUGAUCAUUGGAUCGCUAGCUAGCGACGAUGAUCGACGUACGUGGGUGCAUCAUCCAUCGUGUCUCUCUGGUUAGCUAAGGAAUAACACGUACGUACUUCCUGUUCGUUGUUGGGCAUGCAUGCAUGCACUGUGCGCGCGUAAAACGAUCGAGUUGGCUAGUCGCUUCGAGAAGGAAAAGGAAAAAGAUACGAGCUGGCUAGUCGCUGCACAGCGUUCCCGGUCGGUCUUUUUAUCGUGAGAGACGUGCCUGCCGAUCUUCACGGGCCGGGCGGUGCGCACAUGCGUGCUGGUACGCGGUAGACUGGAAGCUAGCCCCGCCACGCGCGCGCAUGCAUCCAACAAGCUAGCCCCGGCCGCCACACGAAGCCGGCCGGUCAAGUUUAUUUAUAAUAAUUAACUAAUUUGACGCCUGCCGGGCCCGUGCAAUGUAAUCCAACAAGCUAAGUGGCACCUGACAUUAAUUAUAUUUUGUGCGUGCCCCCUACGUCGUAAAUACUCGGACGCGUCUGCGUGUUGAUGCGUCGUGCAUUCAAACCUAAUGCCAUAGCACGGCCAUGCAUUUUUUUUUCUGUCCAAAAAAAAUAAAAAAGGGCAUGCAGUGGCAGUACUAUACUAAUCUUUUUUUUUUGUGGAAAAACUCAGUACUAUGCUACUAUACUCUUAUAAAGCGGCUGGAGUGGACCGAAGAAAGCAAACGACCGCGUAGCUCCCGACCGUGCGUGCAUGCCUCACAGAUGGAGCCUGCCCACCGCAUACGUGGUGUGUAUCCAGAGCUCCUUCCUGCUCGAUCCACUCUCUUUCCUCCCUGCAGGCCAUGCAUGCAAUGCAAGCUCAAGUUUGCUACUGCAAAUGGAAUUGGAGGAGGAGAAUAUAAUGCAGUGCAGCUUCAUCACCUUUUCUUUUGUUUUUUUCCGACUUCACUUUUUACUGUGCAUCAGCAGCAUGCGCUCGUGUCGCCUCGUGGUAGCAGGCUGGUACGUAGCUGCUGUCCUAUUAAGCCUUGAUUACUAUACUAGUUUAAGUAUGUGUUGAUAGGGAAGUUAUUAGCUUAGUUACCGUGUCAUCAGAAGCUAGCUACUUGCCGUUCCCGGCAUGCACUUGGGCCAGCGGUGGCAGUGCCAUCAUAUCCCUAAGCCUAGCUAACCCGGUCACGUCACGUGCCCCAUCUGCGGCGAACUGCUAGUGUACACAUACUGCACAUCUUUUUUUUCUUCUUUUCAUCCAGCGCGUCAAACCGGCGUGUCCCAAUUCGUUCCGGCUCUACGGAUAAUUAAGGACGUGACACUGGCUUUUACAUAAAUUAUUAUAAAAAGCAAAGCAAGCAAAAUAAUGCGAAAGGGAACAAGGCCGCGACGAUCAGAUCACCGGCGGCCGCGUGCCGUGGCAACGGCACGCACAGGAUGAGAGCCCCGACGCGUGGUGCGUGAGAUGGAUGGAGAGAUCCUCGUCGACGUCUCCAACUCCACUGCCGAGGAACCUUCUCUCUGGCGCGGCAUUCUGAACCCCUUUCCGCUCCGGCGCGCCGGGACGAGACGAAACUGAUGGUCCGUUGCCAAGCGCACACGCAUCUCCCUCCGCUCCACCACCCCCCGCGGGGCCACCACCACGAUCCUGGCCGCAACUCCGGACCGGGCCACAGGCCGCGCGCGGCCUCCAUAAAUACCCGGCCGCCUCCCCCGCCCGAACCCCCGCCUCGCAUCACACCAUCGUCUCCCUCCUCCGUCCGAUCGGUUGCCUGCCUCGCCUCGCCACUACUAGUAGCCAGUAGCUUUCCCCGCCGCUCCGUCUCGCUCGCAAUCGCAACCGGCCGCCAACCGCCCCCUCCCCGCUCCACUUCUCCAGCGGCGCGGCCGUCUUUUCUUCUUCUUCUUCUUUCCGUCCGGGUUCCUCGCCGCCUUGGUCCGUCCCAGGCACAGCGGCGGUUGCUGGAUCCAACACCACCCACCACCAAGCAACGCGACACGCGGUAAUCUAGUACUACUACUUUAACCCGCCCGCCCGCCCACCCACCACCACCGCGCCAAGAGUGCUGCCCCCGCGCUCACUCACCUCGUGCGCGCCUUCUUCCCCUGCCGCCCCGCGUGCUACCCCGCAGGUAUCUUGCGCUGCAGAGGCAUUCCGAGGACACGCACACACCGACUGCUGCUGGAAGGAGGAGCAGAGAGCAGGGAUGGGGGACGCGGCGCCGCCGCCGGCGGGCGGCAAGGUCCAGAAGAGCUACUUCGACGUGCUGGGGAUCUGCUGCCCCUCCGAGGUGCCGCUCGUCGAGAGGCUCCUCGAACCGCUGCCGGGCGUCCGCAAGGUCACCGUCAUCGUCCCCUCCCGCACCGUCAUCGUCCUCCACGACGCCGACGCCACCUCCCCGGCGCACAUAGGUAACGCACGCCACCAUGCUCUACUUGUUCAUUCAACCCGAUAUGAUCCUCCUCCUGCUGCUGCUGGCGCCCGAUUCCUCGCCAAUUCGCCUCCUCUUGCCGGGGAAUUUCUUGAAGCUCGUGGUGGCGUGGGAUCGGUGAGCAAGAUAUGUAUAAUAUAAUGCGGCUCAAUCAUGCGCUACCGAUGAAUUCCACUGCAUGAAGACGGGGGCGGCGACUAGAACAGGCCCCCACGACGACCGGAGUCUCGCCCAACUACCCGGCGGCUAAAUCAGGACUAUUUCAGGGCCUAAUCUCCGGAUAGCAACGUGAGGUCUUGAUUGAUGCCGCAGCGACCGCGAACCCAGCACGCAAUCCUUCCUUUCCUUGUUUUUUUCCGUAAAAAAGGUUCACGCCGCUCGGCAGCACAAGAAUAUGUCGGCUCCUCCUCAAACGCAUCACGCAAAAGCUCGUUUCUUCCUCUGGUGUCCUUCUUAUUCUUCAUCUUCCUGAUGAAGGAGACAAAAAAAAAGUACUCUCUGAACGAAUUAUCCGCAAUUUUGAGGCACCGAUAAAUCAAUUGCGAUUUUUUUUUGCCAUUUGAUUCUGGGGACCACUGGGCUAUGAAUUUUGGCGGCUCAUCAUUUGGGGGUCAGCAGAAACAUGAUUUCCAGUCCUUUUCGAUUUCGAUUACGAUAUCUGAUCAUCGAUCAGUUGAAAACCCUGCGUCGGUACAAGAAGUUUGGUGGUGGCCCUGACCCGAGUCACCAACAGCGGAUUAGUACCUGCUGUCUCUGCAUGGAGACCAGAGUUGGACUCUACUAGACCAUAGGCUGCAGGUUCCAUUCAUGUGAAUUUAUUUUUUGGGAAAUUCAUGUGAAAUUUUCACCGUGAUUUUAACCAUUCCUCCAGUUUUUUUACGAGACGUCUUACACAACAACUGCAUGUUCUCUGAACCUGUCAAGUUUACCUGCAUUUCUCGCAGUCAUCACAAUUCAUACCUGUGUGAACCUUGCUUGAUUUCAUCUCUGGUGUUUUCAGUCAAGGUGCUGAACCAGGCGAAGCUUGACGCGUCCGUUCGAGCUUACGGCAGUGGCACAGAGAAGAUAACGAACAAAUGGCCGAGCCCGUACGUUCUCUUGUGUGGAGUUUGUCUGCUCGUAUCACUCUUCGAGCACUUCUGGCGUCCCCUGAAAUGGUUUGCACUGGGGGCGGUGGCUGCCGGCAUCCUACCGAUCCUUAUGAGAAGCUUUGCAGCUGCCCGGAGGCUCACCCUUGAUGUCAACAUACUCAUGUUGAUUGCAGGUAAAGAACUGCCUCUGUUUCACAGGGAUGAUGCCUCCCUUGAUUUGAAUUGGUCUUUGUUUGGGGAUAAAAUGAAUGUAUGUCGCUACAUUCAAAACGACCUAGUUAUGUCGAAAGUAAUACCUAAAUCUGCAACUGAAAAUUAUUCUUCAAUUGAACCAUAUAAAAAUGAAGUACAAUGAUGCUGAGCCUAGUAAAAUAGCUCAGUUUUGUCAUGUUGCUCAUAUAAACCCUCUGACAGAUGCCCGCACUUUGGGGGCCAAUAAUGCUGCCGCUAACAUAUCUGUCCAUGUGAUGGAUGGGUUGUAAAAAAAAGUUGCAAUGCUAAAACUGUUUUGCCAGGACCAAUAUGGUUUCUGCUUAGUGGGAAAGCAGAACCGAUCCGGCACCCAAAAAGUUUAUGUCUCACUUGCCCAAUCUUUUCCCUUAACAUUAGGUUCUGGAGGGACCUCCACUUUCCACUACAACCGCAUUAAAGGGGUAUCGUUGCUAUGUUGCUAAUGCAUAUGCUAAAUGAACAGAACGAUGCUUUUCUUCAGUAUGGUGGUGUGACAUUAAUAGGGAAUCGUGUUUCCUUUCGGAAGAAGGAACGUAUCGUUGGAAUCAUACUUUCUAAAGAUUUUGUUUUUAGUAUCAAGAUAGCUCUAUCCCAAUAUAUGCAUAUGAACUUCUGAAGGAAUCUGCACAACAGCUUGCAGCCUGUAUGUAUAGUCAUCACCACAUUUCCUUGUUGGCAAUACCCUCUCACCUAGGAUGGUCCAUGCUAUCUUGUCAUGACAUAGGCUUGUUCCUUGUUAUUGCAUUUAUAACACUUAUUUUUGGGUUCUGCCAUGGCAUGAAUGCCCGGAGUGCAUUUAAACAUUUAUUUUUGGGUUCUGCAUGGCAUAAAUGCUUGGAACUUUGGUAGAUGGAUGGCAUGUUAAAUUUAAGAAUUUCAUAAGUCUUAUUGCUCUUUUUUACAGUUUCUGGGGCAAUAGCUCUGAAGGACUACUCUGAAGCUGGGUUCAUUGUUUUCCUAUUCACUACAGCUGAAUGGCUUGAGACCAGGGCGAGCCACAAGGUCUUUUCAUCUCUUUCAGCAGUUUAUUUUUCCAAAGAAGUAAUAAUAAAUGCAGGAUUACAGAAGCCACACAUGAACCACUAAACAGAGUAGGAUCUAAUUCUUCUUGACGUGUCAAAUUUGUAAGCACAUUUCGAACUGAUGUGACGUUUCGUGGCUGUUGAUUUGGACGCGCACUAUCCCUACUGAUGGGCCAUAAACAGUUUUUGGUCUGCCAUUUGGGUCUUGGCUUUGGACCAGAGUCAUGUCCACAUUGCUGACUGUACCACCAUUUAGCAUACUGCUGAGAGCAUGGUGUUGAUGCCCACCUGAAAACUCUCGAAGUCUCAAGUGAAGAUAAAUGAACUUUGUAUCUAGUGGACUCAAACAUGCAUAUACACUCAUACAUGUGUAAAUCAGAGUAGAAAACCUAAUAAGCAAUAACAAAAAGAGAUAUGUUGUAAGAAAAACAAAUAUUAGUGGCAUAUACACUCGAUACUUUUUUGUGAAUUUGUGUUAUAUAGGCACUAUUUGUGUUUGUUUUCUCAGAAAAAAAUAUAAUUAAAUGCUGGUUUGACAUGUAGGCGACUGCUGGGAUGUCAUCGCUAAUGAGCAUGGCACCACAAAAGGCUGUUCUAGCAGAGACUGGGCAAGUGGUUGCGGCUCAGGAUGUCAAGGUCAAUACAAUAAUAGCUGUCAAAGCUGGGGAAAUCAUCCCAAUUGACGGUAUUGUUGUCGAUGGACGGAGUGAGGUUGAUGAGAGUACCCUCACCGGGGAGUCCUUCCCGGUGGCAAAGCAGCCAGAGUCCCAGGUCUGGGCUGGCACACUCAACAUAGAUGGUAAGGCAUAUCAGUGCUUGAAUUGGCAUGUGUUAAAUGACUACAAUAAGCUACUGAUCUUUUGGUGAUUCUGUACUGUUAUGUGGCAGGUUAUAUUGCUGUGAGGACAACUGCUAUGGCUGACAACUCUGCAGUGGCUAAAAUGGCAAGGCUAGUUGAAGAAGCACAAAACAGUCGAUCCAAUACACAGAGGCUGAUUGAUACAUGUGCCAAGUACUAUACACCCGGUAAGCUAGAUACGCGAGCUAAUCUUGGUACUAUAUUUCCCUUUUGAGACGCCUACUGAAAAUAAUUACUAGAAAAAUAGUAACAAGUUGGAUUAGAUAUUUUUUUCUUACUGUCAUCUUGAACUGCACAUGCAGCUGUUGUUGUCAUGGCUGCGGCAGUGGCAGUGAUCCCUGUGGUGAUCAGAGCACACAACCUCAAACAUAUGUUUCAAUUGGCCCUUGUCCUUCUAGUGAGUGCUUGCCCAUGUGCUCUAGUGCUGUCGACGCCGAUUGCCACCUUCUGUGCUCUACUGACGGCUGCAAGGACAGGGCUCCUGAUCAAAGGAGGGGAUGUCCUUGAAUCCUUAGCGAAGAUCAAAAUUGCUGCUUUUGAUAAGACUGGUACAAUUACUAGAGGAGAAUUCUGUGUCGAGGAAUUCAAGGCAGUUGGUGGACGUGUCUCCAUUCAACAACUUCUUUACUGGUGGGUGUUGUAUCCUUUGUGAAUUGUGCAUUGCACAAGGUUUAUUUGGGUGUACUGAUUACUGAGUUUCAUGGCUUUUGCAGGGUUUCAAGCAUUGAAAGCAGAUCAAGCCACCCAAUGGCAUCUGUGCUUGUUGACUAUGCUCAAUCAAAAUCAGUGGAACCAAAAUCUGAUACUGUUACUGAGUUCCAAAUCUAUCCUGGAGAGGGAAUUUAUGGUGAAAUUGAUGGGGAAGGAGUUUAUAUUGGGAACAAAAGAAUUUUGUCUAGGGCCUCAUGUGAAACAGGUUGGUAAACACAAGAACUCCAUAUUUCCUUCCUACCAUCAAACUUCCUGUUAAAUAAGAUAAGAGACAUAGCACAUGCCAUGCAUGAAUGGAGACACUUCCACGGCACAUAGGAAGGUUUUGGUUUUAGGAAUAUUAAUUAACUGUCACUUUCAAACGACGUCUGUAUUUGUCCUUAACCCAUUUUAUUGUCUGACUACAACCUGAUUGUAUUGGUUAUUUUAAAAGGUUUUUUGUGUUUUUUUUUUGUUAUCUAAAAUCACAGUAGCUUUGAACAAUCACAUGCCCAUUUCUUUGCUUUAGUUCCGGAGAUCGAAGACAUGAAAGGAGUCACUGUUGGAUAUGUUGCCUGCAAAAGGGAAUUGAUCGGAGUAUUUACUCUGUCGGAUUCCUGCCGAACUGGAUCAGCUGAAGCCAUCAAGGAGCUGAGAUCACUUGGUAUCAAGUCAGUGAUGCUUACUGGGGAUAGUGCUGCAGCGGCUGCAUAUGCGCAAGAACAGGUAAAGACAUUCUAGUACUGUUCCCCUAAAAAAUCAUGCUAGUACUGUGAUAUUGCACAUUUUCCUCAUUCUUGGAGGCUCUGAUCACUUAUAAUUUAUGCUGAUCCUUUCUUCUUCCAGCUUGGCAACAUCCUAGAUGAGGUUCGUUCUGAACUUCUUCCAGAGGAUAAAGUGAGAAUUGUUGAUGAGCUCAAGGCAAAACAUGGCCCUACGCUGAUGAUUGGAGACGGCAUGAAUGAUGCCCCGGCAUUGGCUAAGGCUGAUGUUGGAGUCUCCAUGGGUGUAUCUGGUUCAGCUGUUGCAAUGGAGACGAGUCACAUCACGCUGAUGUCGAAUGACAUCCGCAGGAUUCCAAAGGCUGUCCAGCUGGCACGAAGGACGCACCGGACUAUCAUUGUGAACAUCAUCUUCUCAGUGAUUACUAAGCUUGCAAUUGUUGGACUUGCAAUCGGUGGACAUCCGCUUAUUUGGGCAGCCGUCCUGGCAGAUGUCGGCACAUGCUUGCUGGUGAUCAUGUACAGCAUGUUGUUACUGAGAUCCAAGAGUGAUCGGAAGGCGAAGAAAUGUUGUGCCUCUUCACAGCAUGGAUCACAUGCCAAGAAACAUUGUGUUUCCGGCCACUGCUCAGAUGGUCCGUGCAAGUCAACAGGCAGUUGCAAAGAAUCAUCUUCUGGUAAGCAUGGCUGCCAUGAUCAUGGUCAUAGCCACAGCCACUGCAAAGAGCCGAGCAACCAGCAGCCUACGGAAAAGCAUGCUUGCCAUGAUCACGACCACAGCCACAGCCACUGCAAAGAGCCCAGCAACCAGGUGGUUACAGAAAAGCAUGCUUGCCAUGACCACGGGUAUACUCAUAACCACCGCAAGGAGCCAGGCAACCAGGUGCUUACUGAGAACCAUGGUUGCCAUGAUCAUGGUCAUACCCAUGACCACUGCAAGGAGCUGAGCAGCUCGCACAUCAUCAACAAGCAUGAUUGCCAUGACAAUGAGCAUAGCCACUGCAAAGAAGCCCAUGCUUCGCAACAUUCUGACAGCAACAGCACAUGCCAUGAGCAUGAGCAUAGCCACUGUGAAGAACACAACCAUUCACAUUCUGCAGGUGAGCAUGAGCAUAGCCACUGUGAAGAGCACAAGCAUUCACAUUCUACAGUUGAGCAUGCUUGCCACGACCAUGAUCAUGAGCACGAGCAUCAUUGCCAUGCUGAGCAGCCACUUGUGCACAUCGCGGAUACACACCACUACCAUGACCACGAGCAUGGACAUGACCAUGGGGAGAUUGAGGAAUCAGAAACGGACUGCCAUGCCGAGGUACAGCACCACCACAGCCAUUGCUGCCAUGAGCCUCAUGUGCAGGAGAAGAAGAUUGCUGCUGAGCCAGUUCAAGAAGUCUCCAUCUCUAUCAGUUCACUACCUGAUGAGAAUCACGAGCAGCAUAACCAGUGCAGCCACCGCAGUGAUGAGCACAAGGUGGCAGAUUGCACGAACCAUCUGAAGGCGAAAGACUGCGUUCCACCUCCAGCUGACCUCGUGAGCAGAAACUGUUGCAGCGUGACCAGCAGCAACAAGGGGUGCGGAAGCAAAGGGAAAGACAUCUGCUCGAGCUGGCAGGCCGUGUGCGCCAGGGAGACCAGCCGGUGCUGCAGGAGCUACGUGAAGUGCCCCAGGACGAGCAGCUGCUGCAGCCACCCCAUGCUGAAACUGCCCGAGAUCGUGGUAGAGUAGGGGGGCAACAAAGUACAUGCCCAUGUGAACAGUUAAGGUAACUCAUCGGCGUCGUAAGAUAGUAGGCUGCCGGUGCGGAAGUGUUGGAUCUAGUUAAAAUAAUUUAUGUAUAGGUUUGCUGAAGAAAAUGAUGUAGGAUUUUGAUCAGAAGGGAGUCUGAAAAGGGUGGACUCUGCUUGGUUUGUUCCUUCCUUGCUCCUCUGUUUGCAUCUCCUGUAAUAGAUGGUUUGAGGUGCAGUGGGAAUUGGUAGUUCGGUGUGGUACUUAAUCAAGGAAAGGCAGAGAUCAGUUGUAAAUGUUGUGUUCUGAUUUUCUCAGGGUUUUAGCUGAUGCAGGCAAGUGCAGCUGUGCAGGACAAGGUUAGCUGCCAUAAUGUCUGAACCGUGAACUGGCUCCACAAAACAACAUCAAUGCUAGUUAGUAUUCUAGUACUGGCCAGAAUUCAGAUUGAAGAAUGAGCGUACGACUCAUUUUGGCAUGUAUGUAGAACUCCCAACGUCUGGAUAAAAACCUGGAAAUUUAAAGAUCCCUCCAAAAGUUCGGAAUCUUACUGAAAAGCACUAAUUGAUCUUAUGAUCUACUGAAAACUAUCAUCCUUUUUAAGUCGGUAGCGCCGCCGCGUGGGCACUUGCCAGAUGUGGCCUGCCGCCUGCAGCAGCGGCCGGCACGGGAAGAUGAAUAGGCGAACGUCUACGUCAUCAGAACAUUAACGAAGCCACGAACCAACCUGGGCCUUAACAGUGAAUAUAGAUUCGGUGGCUAAGGGUUGUUUGGAAACACCGCUAAACUUUAGCAUCUGUCACAUCAGAUGUUGGAUACUAAUUAGAAGUAUUAAACAUAAUCUAAUUACAAAACUAAUUGCACAGAUGGAGUCUAAUUCACGAGACAAAUCUAUUAAGCAUAAUUAGUCCAUAAUUUGACAAUGUGGUGCUACAGUAACCAUUCGCUAAUGAUAGAUUAAUUAGCCUUAAUAGAUUCGUCUCGCGAAUUAGAUUCCAUCUGUGCGAUUAGUUUUGUAAUUAGCUCAUAUUUAGUCUCCUAAUUAGCAUUAAAUAUCUGAUGUGAUCCUGCUAAAGUUUAGCACCUCGUAUUCAAACACCCCUAUAUCCAUAAGACCAUAACUCAUCAACUGGGCCCCAAACACCCCCUAAGUCCAUAAGACCAUAACUCAUCAACUGGACCCCAUUGCUACAAGAGCGGGCGCCAGCAAGGAGGGGGAGCGCACUGUAGCCUAAGUGGGCUAAUAAGUGGGCAGGCCCAUGAACCCUAGCUGAUGAAUUGUUUUUACUUCUCUCGUCACUCUCACCACGGAUGUGGUCAAAAUCGCUAAUUUUUACUGUCCCUGUGCGCCGCCGCCGUCCCCAUACUAGGCGUCUGCGGCUCCGCCCUUUAGCACCCCCACUUUUAACACUUGGUAUCCAAAUAGGUAUGCUAAAGUUUAACACAUCUUUUUUCAUUAGCACACCCAAGAGGUGCUAAAGGGUGCUAAUAGUGCUAAAAGUGCUCCCCUCUUCACUUUUUCCCACCAUUGCCCCCUCUCUCUUUCCUCCGCUGCAAUUUAAGAGGAGUAAAUGAGGAGCAAUAUUGUCAUUUUUCAUCAAAGAUGCUAAAAUUUAGCACAGUAUCCAAACAGCUCAAAGUGCUAAACUUUAGCACUUGAUAUCCAAACAGGCUCUUAAUGGAUUUUUAUCCUCCAUAAAAUGAUGUAACGUGACAUAUAAGAAAAAAUGAUGGAGUAUUAAUAAUGAGGGAGAAAAGAUUGAUUUCAUGGGAUAGAACUGUAUGUACACGGUUCCCGAGAGACCUCCAAAGUUUCGUUUCAACUGAUUUCUACCCAUACCGUGCAUGGCAAUUGAAGUCUGUCGUUAGACCUAAGCAAACCUCGGGCUGGGAGGCAAAAAGUCCAAUUUCUUUCGAGUCCAAUCCUACUCAUUAACUCCAUCAGGCUAUAAAAAAAUUGGGUCCACGCUCGGACCACCCAUCGUUUUCUAGUGUAAAUUUAAUUCAUUUUAUUAUUCAGUCCGAGCUUGAGCCGCCCAUUCUUUUGCCGAAAAAUUAGCUUCACGUGCGGGCCUUACCCUAAAUGACGUUAGGUUGAGCUUAGCCCGUCGGGCUAGGAUCGGGCUAGGCCUAUUUUGCUUAGGUCUAUCUAUCGUUUCGUUUGUCUAUAAAAUCAUGAUAUGAAAUCAUGCAUUGGAGGUAGGGUUUCAUUCAUCAACAAAAAUUAGUUUAUGUAUUGGAGGUACGGUUUUAUUCAUCAACGAAAAUUAGUUUAGAAUGGUCAAUAUCGUCCAACUGAUGUUGACUUUCUUUGAGGUUAUUUUUAUUAAGAGACCAUUAAUAUUGAGCUUCUUUUAGCUAGAGGUUAUUUUCCUAAAAUGCGGGAAUGCAAAAAUUUCUAAACAAUUCAUAUUUCCCCCCCACAAAACCACUUUCUUAGUCUCAAAAGAGGGCCAUGGAAUUUUCGAACAUCCCAGCGUGGGCAUCAUCCAACAAGAGCCUCAUCUUGCACCGAACAAAAAUUAGAGCACGAAAAUAGAAUAAUUCGGAUCCGGAUAGUCCACAAGACUAGGCGCAAAACCUUCAGCCUAGCAAUAGCAAGUGCAAGCUGCUCGAGGAAAUCGUAGUGUUGUCCGGCCAACCUUUCCACCUCAGUCCUGCCUCCCAAGAUUCUUCCGUACUUUCCCCCUCCACCAUCGUCUAGAUCUCCCCCAACUCCUCAGUAAUCCGGACCAUCGACCGCGUGCUCUCGCUCCCUGUUCUGUCCGCCGCCGCCGCCGCAAGCUGUCGUGCUGUGUCGUCGGCGACCUCGCCGCUGAGGUCCUCUUCCCCGCCCGCCGCUCACAGCCUCGUGGCGGACUCGCUGUGGAGUGGAGUCCAGGUCCAUCCAGCCGGACGGGCUCGAAUCGACUCAUUUCGUUUCGUUGGUAAGUCGCUCGAGCUUGCCUUUCUUGGAGCUCGCCUUGUUCUUAGGAGCCCUUUCCCCUUGGCUGCUGCGAGCAGUCAAGUUCGAGUUUUUCUUUGCGGUUACCCACUUAGCUAUAUGCUUCUGUUCUGCGUGGUGCCGUAGUAAUCGAUUCGAGGAUCCAUCCAUAACCUAGCCAAGGUAAUGCUGGUUCAGGCCUUAGUCCUCGAGUUAAAUUCGCCCCUGCCAUUUUGGAGUUCGUCUGGUGAUGCUUAAUUGUUGAGGUUUAGGGGGUUUAGGGAGGGUUUCGUGUGAUGUGAAACUUUCAAGUUCUGGGUGAAAACGUGGAACAUCCAGGUUCUGGUUAGUAGCACAAGAAUGAUUUGUGGAACCUCUUAGUACAUGUUAACCAAAAAAAUUAGGAGACCUUUGCCACUCAUGGAUAGAGGUCUAGCAGUCAGUUACGUUAAAGGCGUCGAUCAUUGUUAUUAAGAACUUUUGUUCUUUGAGAACUAUUUGUUUGCUUUUUGCUGCAAGUUCAGCUAUUGUGAUAAGUGUUGGCCACAAGCAUCCCAGGAUUUAGAGGCUGGGGUUACUGUUGGCUAAAAGCCUGAAGGCAUUAAACUGAAAAUUUCCUUUCCCCCAUGUUUUUCAGGUUUCUAGAUGUUGAUCACUUCUAUCAGAAGAGUUGCUUAUGGAUGAUUGUAUGACUGUAGCUUGCUAGAUCGGAAGGCCCGGCUUUCCUGAUUAUACAUCUACACCAUGGCACCACGCAGUAGGUCUUCAUCUAGAAGGCCUCUCUGGUUCGUCGUCUUGAUUGCUUUUGUCUGUGCAGUAGCCAUUGGAGCCUAUCUUUAUACUCCACGGCAUUACACAUCUUGUUAUCUGGUACCAUCAGAAGGCUGCAAUACUCGGCCUCCUCCAGAACCUGCUAGGGUAUACACUGAUGAUGAGAUUGCUGCUCGUGCUAUCAUGAGAGACAUCAUCCGGGCACGGCCAGUGCCGUCGAAGAAUCAAAAAAUUGCUUUCAUGUUCUUGACGCCCAGUUCAUUGCCUUUUGAGAAGCUCUGGGAGAAGUUCUUCAUGGUAUGAUUUUCGAAGUAUUUACAAAUUGCAGUGAAUACAUGUCUAGGUAGUAAACGAGCCUUAGCAGAAUUAACUAAAAUCUCAAUGGUUGUGUUUCAUUAUGCAGCAUAAUAUUUUCUCCCAUCAGGAUAGGAAAUUGUUAUCUAUUAUGCAUAUUAUAUAUUGUUAAUGAACUCAAUUUGAGUAUGUCUACUGAAUCUAUCUACUUGGGUGUACUUUCAGGGGCAUGAAGACAGAUACACCAUAUAUGUACAUGCAUCAAGAGAUAGGCCGAUUCAUUCGAGUCCAAUAUUUGCUGGCAGGGAUAUUCGAAGUGAAAAGGUAUCAACCUGUAAUUGGCUUAAACAUGUAUUCAUUCUUUUAUCCCUAAUUAAUUUACGCAGAAAAUGUUUGCUAAGUUGCUCUAUAAUAAAGAUUGAUUUUGAGAAAAAAUGUGGUGUUUUCUCUCUCAGAGUGCCAUCUCUAUUGAUUGCAGUACUCCAUAUAAUUUAAAAGGAUGAAUGUAGCUUGUAGAGUAAGACCCAGGAUUUAUUAAUGUUGUUGAACCAUCACCUGUACCUAACAUGGCCUGUAGUACUUGCCUACAGCAAUUGUGCCCAAGAGUAUUUAAACACCAAAGUUUUCAUUGUACUUGUAGAAUCUAAUUUUUAAUUUUCCUACAGGUGAUCUGGGGUACAAUUUCUAUGGUUGAUGCUGAAAAGAGGCUCUUGGCUCAUGCCCUACAAGAUCCUGAAAACCAGCAUUUUGUCUUGCUUUCUGAGAGGUCCAUCAUUUUCAUUUAUCACCAUUUAAAUUUGAAUGCUCCCCAUACUAAUGCUUUACUCUAAUUGCAGUUGUGUGCCACUUCAUAACUUUGAUUAUAUAUAUAGUUAUCUCAUGGAGACAAAUGUCAGCUUUGUUGACUGGUAAGUGAACAUACUGAAGGUUAUAUAAAGUGAUAUGUUAGUUUCCCCCCCUAUGUGGAGUUGAACAGAUAUUUGAUUUAGGAUAUGCCUUUUUUGAUUUUUUUAAUAACCACAAAUGCACAAUCGUUUCGCGAUUGACAUGGCAAAUUAUUUUUUCCCCUCAGUUUUGAUGAUCCUGGUCCACAUGGAGCAGGAAGAUAUUCUGAUCAUAUGCUACCUGAAAUUGUGAAGAGAGAUUGGAGAAAAGGUGCACAGGUGAUAAUUUCAUAAAACUCUUCUCCCUAGAAAGUAGAAUUUUAUGGUUACAAACAUGUUGCUCCACUUCUCUUUGUCCAUUGACUUCAUUUUUUGUAGAGUGAUUUCUAUGACUUCCAGUAAUUCUCUAUCAUCCAAUUCAACUUCUUAUAACAGUUGUUAUGGCUUCCCAUAGUUUUAUCUUCCAACACACUGAUGUAUUCAUCUCUUUCAGUGGUUCACAGUGAAACGGCAGCAUGCAAUUCUUAUUCUCGCUGACACCCUUUACUAUGGGAAGUUCAAGCGUUACUGUAAGGUGGUCACUUUCUCCCCACCUGAAAAAUGAAUUUCUUUCUAGGAUGCCUUAUCUUAGCAAAUGCACUGUCAAUUUUGUUCUCAUGUGUAAUAUCUAGAGCUUCCAAUAUCAUCAGACAACAGGUAACGAUUACUAGGGGGGAAAGUGAAAACAAUUUUCUUUGAGAAUCUGCUUCAUUCAGUAUAGAUAGUUAUGUGACAUAUCAGACCUUAGGGCAUAUUAAUACAUAACAUUAGUGUGUUAGUUAGGUACAUAACAAUUUUCCUGGAAUGCAUGUUGUUGCUGAUAUUGUGAUUGCUACUUUACAGCCAGGAAAUGAAUGGCACAAUUGCUAUUCUGAUGAGCACUACUUGCCAACUCUCUUUAAUGUAAGCAUUCAGAAGCUUCUAGAUGAGCUUUUGUUCUCUUUGAGUAGCCAACAACAUUUUACUGAAAGAGAGACUUCGAAUAACAUUGCACCUGUAUUUGGUGGCCGCAGAUGGCUGAUCCGACUGGAAUUGCCAAUUGGUCAGUGACACAUGUAGAUUGGUCCGAAGGGAAAUGGCAUCCUAAAGUCUAUAGGGCGGUUGAUACAAGCUUUGAGCUGCUGAAGAACAUUUCCGUAAGCUCUUUGUUGAUCUCAAUUGUCUAUAGAGGCAAACAAUUCAUACGCUUGGGAUUUAUCUAACAGUAUUCCAAAUCCCUGCAGUCCAUUGAUGAGAGCGUUCAUGUUAGCAGCAAUGCAAAGGUAGAGUAAUUUGGUCCUUGGCUUCACCUGUUCCCAAUCAGGGUCAACUCAAACAAAUGAGGCGUUCCUUGUUUCCUGGAAGAUCUAAUACGCCAUUGUUGUCAUCAUCUUGCAGCAUGUAGCGCAGAGAAGACCUUGCAUGUGGAACGGCAUGAAGCGGCCCUGCUACCUGUUCGCGCGCAAGUUCUACCCCGAGGCGCUCGACAACCUGAUGAACAUAUUCUCAAACUACACCAUCAUCUGAGGACCGGAUCAGAGGGCCUGUUCGCUUCAGCUUAUAAGCCGGCUGAAAAGCUGAAACGGCUGAUUUGUUGUGAGAGGAAAACACUGUUUGAUGGCUGAUAAGCCGGAUGAAUAAGUUGAAGCGAACAGGGUGAGAGGCUCCAGCAGUUAUUUUCUUUCCUCCCGUGUGCUGUUGCGUCAGCGCGACCUUGGUACUAGGUGAGCGGUGUAGGGGAUGUACUUGGUGAUGGAAUCCAUUAGCUGAUGAGAAUCCAGUGCUGCUCCUCACUCUGGUAGAUUACUGAUGAUGGCUGGGCUCUAGGUUGUUUGCUAGAAAAUUUUGCUGGUGUAAACAUUAGCCCGGUGUGAUGUAUGAACUGUUCUGCUGAUGAAUUGGGUCGUAUCACCUAUGAUGACUUCGUUUUUCCGCAAGUAAGCUUUGCUGUUGUUAGCAUGGGCCGGAAAGAUGAGGGCCGUUGCCCGGGCUGAAACACAAGGCCCAUGGGCGCAUUUAUGGCCCAAAGCCUGAUGGAAUGAAACUUGCGCGUGUGCAUUUCUUGAUUGGCGUGCUUGUUUUAUUAUAGCCAAAAACCCUAAACCUCGUCUCAAUAAAAUCUCAAAAAAGGGGAAAAGGGGAAAAAAAACUCAAAACCCUCCACCUCAGCUGCGGCGGCGGGUAACGAGGUGAUCGUCGACGAGUAGUCACCACCACCAUGAGGCCACCACUACGAGGCAAGCUAGCAACCGAAGCCAUGGCGUCAAUUGCCAUACGCUUUACCGCUGAUCAAUUCCUCGAUCGGUUCAAUCUGUCUCAUUUGAUCUAAUGAUGUUUCGAUUGCCCUAGGACGCGGCGGGAGGGUAGGAGGAAGUGGCGACGGCGGGGGCCGAGGCUGGAGGGGAGGCGGAGGCAAUGGCGGCGGCGGCAGAGACCGCGGCGGCCGGAGGGGAGGCGGUAGGAACGGCCCGGGGAGAGCGGACGUCAGGGGUAGGAGGCCUGGUGUCAGGGUGCCGGUCGGCGGCCCCAGGGGCGGCGGCCGCGUUGGCGGCGUGAAGGGCGGGGGCAAGGUGGUGGUGGAGCCGUACAGGCACGGGGGCGUCUUCAUCACCAGGGGCAAGGAGGACGCGCUCUACACCAGGAACAUGUGCCCCGGCGAGUCCGUCUACGGCGAGAAGCGUGUCUCCGUCCAGGUCCCCUUUGCCGUGCUUCAUCUCUCUAGUUUUUUUUUUCUUCACAAUUCGUUGUGCAAUGUGGGUGGAAAUUUGGCUUAAGUGGUUUAUCUAUUACUAUUAGUUGCCAAUGGCGUUGUAGAUCCAUAUAUAUAUGCUAAACUUUGAAAGGUUUAUUUCGAUAACUAGAUAGCACCAUCUGGUCAUGUUGAGUUGAUGAUCAUGUUUUGCUGUUUGGUUGUUUCGGCAUUAUUACAGAACGAGGAUGGCACAAAGGUCGAGUCCAGGGUGUGGAACCCCUUCCGAUCCACGCUGGCUGCUGCUGUCAUAGGCGGAGUUGACAACAUCUGGAUUGUAAGCCUGUUUACCUAGUCUGAACAAGCAUUAGCUAUCUUGCCCUUUCAGUAAGCGAAAAAAGUCUCCGCUGUUGCUGUCAUAAUUUAUGACGUGUUUAUGAUAAUUUAGGCUCCUGUACGCAUGUAACACUCUAAUUUUCAAACUUUUACAACUUAAUAAAAUUAGUUAGAAUUUGCGUGAUUAAGGAUUUAAGGUUUUCUAAAGUUGCAUUUAAUUUAUUAGGCAUUUAAAUCUUUUCUUAAAUAAGUUAAUGAAUCAUAGGAGUUCAUUGUUGCAUUCAUGCUGGUGCAUUGAAUUCAAAUUUGUAUUUAAAUUCAUUUGUAUUUAAGUUAAUGAAUCUUUUUUUCUUUCUCUUCCUCUUUCUUCUUUUGGCCCGCUUUCCCUUUCAGUCUAGCUCCGCAGCAGCAGCUCGUAGGCUAGGCCGGCCCAGCAGCAACCCGCUUCCUCCAAGCCAGCCCGCUCCCGCGCCUGCCUUCCGCCGGGCCCCGCCUGACAUCCCCCUCCUCCCGCACGCUCCCGAGCCGGAUUGGAGCUCGAGUCCGUGCCGCGCGCGACUCCGCCUCCGAUGCGUGGCCCACAUGCCUUGGCCGCUUCCCCUGGCCUAUAAAACCCGUCGCCGCCUCCGUAGCCCUCACCAAACCCUAGCGCCCUUGCCUCGCACCCAGCGCCGCCGCCGCCCGAGCUCGAACCCUAGCGCACACCUGUCGCCUUCGAUCCACGCCGCCGCCGUCUUGCCGUCGACAAGAUCACCGCCCGGAGGUUCGCGUCGUGGUAAGGAACUCGCCGGAGGUCCUCUUGUGCGCUCCCGUGCCCUCUACAGCGUCCCUGAGCUCGCCGGAGUUGUUGGUUCGCCGUUGAGCCGCCUCUUCGAGCUACACGUCGCCGUCGCCGCUCCAGCCACCGCACCGAAGACCUAGAUCGGUUCCUCGCGCCCCCAGCUUCGCCUCGAGCCAGUCCCCGUUGAAAACCGUGAGCCGUCGCUCGAGCUACGCUCGAUUCCGUCAAGGUCCCCUACGUGCCGCCGCUCACCGCCGUGUUCUCCGCCGCUCGCGCGCCGCUGCAGCCGCCAGCCGUUCGAUCCGCUUCGGACGGAUCAAAUUUAAUCUGACCGGAGUCAACUGGUCGGCGUACCGGUCAAUCCUAGUCAGCUGCGCCGCUUUUGCUUAAGAGCCCCCACCUUUUCUAGUUUUUGCAUCUAAAUCCUGCCGCACUUCAAAAGUAUUUAGAUCUAAGUCCUUUUUCUUCUGUUUAGGCCCCUGCUCUUUUAUAAAAUCCCGCUCGCCAUCCUAUUUAGUUCUUUUACGCGUUAGACCUUCUAUUUAUAUGUUUAAUUAGGUUUUAGCCCUCGAUUUCUUUAAGUUUAGCCCCUGGAAGUUUAGUUUUCUUGCAGUUAAGCCCCUAAACCUAGUUUAGCUCAUAUCUUUAGCGUUUUAAAUCUGUUUUAAGCGAUUCUUGCGCCUAUGAGUUCGUGUUGACGCAUAGAUUAGUUUUGUGGUCCUAUUUUGCUCUGUUGCUAUUGUUUGAUGUAAUGUUUUCUUAUGUUUUUCCUUUGUUUGCUUGUAUGUACUCAUUUGAUGCGCAUAGAAGGAUCGCAGUUCGAGGGAUUCAAAGAGUAAGGCUUUGAAGACUUUGAGCAGCAAGAGCCAGUUCAGGAAGGCAAGUUGUACCCUUGAUCACAAUUUGUUCCUAUGCAACCUUUACUUUUAUGCUCUAUACGCAUAUGCUAUGCACUUUAAGAAUAUAAACAUGAUGGGUCCUAUUUAAGGUGUGCCUAGUUUUAUCCCUACCACCUUGAUCAACCUGGGUUUACUUUACUGUUGGGUAGUUCUUGCUUAGUUGCUCUAACUAGGUAUGGUGGUAUUAAUGAACCAAUGCUUAAACUUGUUUUAUUUACGCUAUACCUUCCAUUAAUACAAGAUCACCGUGCUUAAUUGGAACAUGGAGCAACCACCCAGGAAAGCAGUACAACCACAAGAACUACAUGGCUCUGGUCUUGGCUAAUUAAUUAGAGACUCUAGUCUGGGGUAAUCUUACGGAAAGGGCAAGAGCAGGCCUAGCCCUAGAGGGCGGGGUCAGGUAGUGUGACCGCCGGGGGCCCAAGACCAUAUAGGUAAUUAGUACAUAUAAAUUUCUAUUUGACAUGGUAAGCAUUUGAAGGCCCAUCACAAACCAGCCCAUGCCGUAGGUAACUCUCCCUUCCAGUCCUAUUCUACGUAACCUGAUCCAUCGAGCGGAGGGCAGGCCGCAAGCGAUGUUUCUUUGAUCGUUUCCUGCCGCCGCAACCCUGCCUGCCCAUCGACGUGCUAUGGCUGAGGAGAGGACACGCUCGCAUCGAUCCGAUUGGCUCCUCACCCGGCGAGGCGGCGACCGACCGGCAACGACAAGGGCACCGAUCAGAUUCGCGCGUCACAGUAAGCAACACACCGAUUGAUUAGUAUUUCCAAUUUUUUUCUUAUUUAUUUUUUUGUAUGCGCUAUGCUUAUACCGAUUGUGCUAGGGUUAAAAUUUCUAAUUCAUUGAAUUUAUUUGAAUAUGAUAGAUGUUGUCUAAGAAGCAUUUGUCGGGUGCUCUAUUAAGAAAAAAAAAGAAAACAAGAAGAUCAGUUCGUAGAAUCGCAGAGAGGUACUCUACAUAAGUUUUUUCCAGUUUCAAAUAAUGCUGAAGUCAGUCAAGAUCAGGGGUGGGAACAAGUUGCAGAAGUCGAUGCCAAUGAAGGUGCUACAGAAGAGCAUAAUUUAGAUGCUGAAGCUGAUGCCAAUGAUCAUACUCAGGCUCCGGGAGGUGACACUUUACAGCCUUCAAAUGAUACUGAAAUUGCAAAUAUUGAUGUACAAGAAGAUUCAGUUUUGACUAUUUUUGAUCCUAGAAUAUGGGGAAAUCUUGACAAUAGCAAAAAAGAUAUCUUAAUUGAGAAAGGACCUGUAAGAGAAGUGGAUCUACAAUUCCCUUGUGAUCCCAGUAGCAGACAUUUUUCUUAUGCGUACUACUUCAGAAAAUUAUCUAAUGGUGAGUUUGUUGAUAGGAAGUGGUUGGUUUAUUCUAAACAUGUGGACAAGAUUUAUUAUUUUUGCUGCAAGUUGUUCAAAUCAAAUCAAAACAAGUCAUUGUUAGUAUCUGAUGGAAAACAUCUUAGUGAGAAACUAAAAACACAUGAGAACAAUGUGAAGCAUUUGACAAACAUGAGUACAUGGAAUGAGCUUCAGCUUAGAUUAAGCAAAAAUCAAACAAUUGAUGAUGAAAUGCAAUGGGAAAUUACAAAGGAAAAGGAGCAUUGGAGACAGGUCCUGGUAAGAAUAGUUUCUACUGUGAAGUUUCUUGCUAAACAAAAUCUAGCCUUUCAAGGAUCAAAUGACAAACUUUAUGAAUGUAACAAUGGUAAUUUUCUAGCCACAGUUGAAAUGAUUGCUGAAUUUGAUCUUCUAAUGCAGGAACAUAUUAGGUGCAUUCAAAGUAAUGAAAUUCAUCAUCAUUAUCUUGACCAUAAUAUUUAGAAAUGAGUUAAUUACUAUUUCUCUGUUAUCUUAGAUUGUACCCCAGAUGUGAGUCAUGAAGAACAAAUGACAUUAAUUGUGUGUUGUGUUAAUAUGUCAAGUACCAUUCCAAGAGUAGAGAAAUUUUUCUUGGAGUUCUUACAGGUUGAUGACACCUCCGGAUUAGGGCUUUUUAAUAUUUUGUUGGAUGCACUUCGGUCUCAUGAUUUGAACAUUGAUGAUGUGAGAGGUCAAGGUUAUGACAAUGGUUCUAAUAUGAAGGGAAAAUAUCAAGGUGUGCAGAUACGUUUGCUUGAAAUUAAUCCAAAGCAUUAUAUAUGCCAUGUGCAUGUCAUAGUCUGAAUCUCACUUUUUGUGAUAUGGCAAAAUCUUACAAGACAACUAUUCAUUCUUCGGUGUUAUACAAAGGAUAUAUUGUUUGUUUGCACGCUCUACUAAAAGGUGAAAAAUUUGACUGAUAAUGUUAAGAGGUUUACUGUCAAACCCUUGUCUGAUACUUGUUGGGAGAGUCAAAUAAAGAGUGUGCAAACUAUCAGGUAUCAAGCCCCACAAAUAAUAUCAGCGUUGAAGGAAGUGGAAAGAACUUCUACCGAUGACCCAAAAACAGUAAGUGAUGCUCAAUCAUUGGUAACUGCACUUGAGAAAUUUGAAUUUCUAGUUGAUAUGGUUAUCUGGGAUGAUAUUUUAUCUAGUAUCAACAUGGUGAGCAAAAAGUUACAACUAAGAUUGUGUGCUUAGAUGCUACUCUCAAACAAAUAGGGGUCAUCUCAUAUUUUCAGAAGUACAGAGAAGAAGGCUUCAAUGCUAGUAUUGAGAUUGCAAAAUCCAUUGCAUCUAGUAUGGACGUAGAGCCAAAAUUUCCUACAAAACGUCAAGGUAAAAGAAAGAAGCAUUUUGAUGAACAAAAUGAUGAAACUGAAGAAUUACAACUUUCAGAUAUAGAUGAGUUCAAAGUUAGUUACUUCCUAGUUAUUGUUGAUGUUGCCAUUGCUUCAUUGACUAGUCGAUUUGAACAGUUAAAGAAGUUUGAAAAAAUAUUUGGUUUCUUAUUAAACUCAGAAAAUCUGAAGUCCUUGGAUGAUAAUGAUCUACGAAAGUGCUGCACUACUUUUGCAAAAUCUUUUUCUCAUGACAACAAGUCUGAUGUUGAGUUGGAUGUUUUUUUCUAAAUUAAAAGUGUUGCAAGUAUCUUUGCCAGAAGAAUUGAUGUCAGUACCUGAGAUUCUUCAGUUUGUUAAAGCUGCAGAUUGCUACCCGAAUGUCUCAAUUGCAUAUCGGAUUCUCUUAACUAUUCCAGUGAUAGUAGCAUCAGUCGAAAGAAGUUUCUCCAAAUUAAAACUAUUGAAAAAUUAUUUGAGAUCAACUAUGUUACAAGAAAGAUUGAAUGGCUUGGCUAUGUGCAGCAUUGAGAAGGAUAUUUUGGACGACAUAAAUCAUAUACUGUUCUUGAAGAUUUUGCAUCAAGAAAUGCUCGAAGACGGUUUUUUACAAAGCACCGAAGCAUUAUAUUUUAUUUGAGGUAAUCAUAAUGGUUAUUGUUUUUAGUUUUUUUGUUACACUAUUGUUAUAUUUUAUGAGCUAUACAUAUAUUGCAAAGUGAUUUUUAUUAUUCGUACUUGAUAUUCGGGCCCUUAUCUUCUUGCUUGCCCAAGGGUCCUUAAAAUUAUAGAGCCGGCCUUGGGCAAGAGGGGAGGCAUUGAUGGGGUAUAGCCCGACCCUCAGGCUGAUCUGCUCUAUGGUAGUUUCGCAGUUUUGAGAAAGGUUUAUGCUCUGCUUCGACCUAAAACCUUAGCGGGUUACUACUCACUCGGGAAUCUUUGUAAAAGCCUUGUAGCGUCUCUAUGCAAUCACACCGGCCCUCAGGCUGAUCUGCUCUAUGGUAGCUUCGCAGUCUUGAGAGAGUUUUAUGUUCUGCUUCAACCUGAAACCUUAGCAGGUUACUACUUACUAGGGAAUCUUUGUAAAGACCUCGUAGCGUCCCUAUGCAAUCACACCUCGAAAGUGUGGUAUUGUGCAUGGCCCGCACAACAUGGUUGGGUCUAAAGUUCUUUUGAACUAUUACGCGACUUGUGGUGAAAGUGUACAACCUCUGCAGAGUGUAAAACUGUUAUAAUAGCCGUGCUCACGGUUAAGAGCGGCCUGGAUUCUCACAUGAUUAAUCUAUCGGAAGUCGAAUUAAAUUGUUGUUAUUUAUUGCGGUUAUCUUUAUUUAUGCUCAUGCUUAAUGUGGGUGGUAUAAACUUAUACUUAGUAAUUGCUAAUAAAAUUUGACCAACCAAUUAAAGUGCUGAAAUGCUAUUAAAGCAUAACCUAUCCUUGUAUAGCUUUACACUACACAUUCCCCAUGCUUGCUGAGUACCAACCAUAAGUGUACUCACCCUUGCUAAAACCGCUGCUCAGAUCAAGUCAACUUUGAGUUGGUUCUUGAAAACUUUGAGGAGUUCUAGGCGUAUGUGUGCCACUAGUCAACUGCCUGUGGAGUCAGUCGUCAUCGUUGGAGUUCCACUGCUAGAAUAAAGGCUCGUUUUACUAUUCAAAUUAAAGAUUUUCAGUCAUAUAAUAAAUUUAAUAUUCUCUAUUUAUGUUUUGGCACUGUCUAUGGUAUUUACUAAAGUCGUUGCAUGUGUGAAAUUUGAUCCUAGCGCACAUGUAAUUUAUUCAUCUGGUUUACCUUUAAAACCGGGUGUGACAUCUACCUCUGUGCUGCAUCAGGAACGACCGUGUCUCAUGUGUCUGAUAUUGUUGGACCAGUGAGUGAUCACGCUGUCACCUAUUUCAGUUAUUGAUCGGUUACUUGAUUUACUGUGUUUGUUAAUGAAUUUGGUCAUAUCGCAGGAGGGGUUGGUCCAUGCUGUUGAGUUCUCUCAAAGAAGAGGACCAACGUGAUUCCCAUUAUUGAGGAUGCCAGGCACCCUGCAAGGUACAGGAUGUUGGUUGGCAUGGUUGAUAUCUUCUCUGAUGUUGCACAGCCAGACCAGGUAUAUAGCCAUCUCACACUAAUUUCUUUCAUCGGUUUUUUGCUUAGUGUCUUGCUUAUGAGUAAAGACUGACGUCUGAGUCUCUGAUAGUGUGCAACUGAGUGUUGGUGAUUAUGUUUGUGCUUGGUUUGUUGUCUUUUUGUGGUGAUAUUGGGCCUCAGCAGAUGAUGAGCAUACUCGGAUUCCCCUUCAGGACAUCACAAUGGAUGAUGCAAAUUCGAGUUUCUGAUGCGCUUAUGGCCCUAUGCCAAAUGCCAAUAUUUUUCCUUUCUCUUUCUUUUUUGCCAUUUGCAUUUAUCAUUAUAUUUGGAUGGGGUGCAACCUUUUAAUUCCUAUUCCAAUGCGUUGUAUAUCUGGUUGUUUAAGUGCCCCAUAUUUGUUUUCUGUUAACCUAGUUUGGAAGUUAUGGAUCCUAGUUCAUUAGUGGUAAACAUAAAUGACUGCCAUGCCUCUCUAUAUAUAGAGCAGGCACUUAACAAUCCUAACAAACCAACUAACUAAUAUAAUCUCCAAAUCCUUAUCUUUUCACGCCCAGUAUAGAUGGGUUGGGCCUCUGGCCACCCAUAACAUAAUUUGUACAUGAUAUUUGCAGUACUGUUUUUCUUUAGAUCCUUAGACUUGAAAAACAAAACUGUUACUUUCUAUUUGUCUGCGGUCCACUUUUAUUUUUGUUUUCUUCUUUGUUGGGGAUGCACAUCAUUUGGCACUUUUUCUUGGUUUGGCAAGUUGUGCAUAAAAAUAUCUACAGGUUAGACCUUUGGUUGCUUUGAUUUUGUUGAUGUAGUUUGAUGUGUAUCUGGUACUGCAAGUCACUAGACGAUGCUUAGAUCAUAAUUUUGACUGGAAUUUUGAACCAUAUUCGCGUCUUGUUGGCGUGAGUCGUGUGACUGUUGGUACUAUCCCAAUGGGACGGAUAGGUCCAUCACACAAAUUCUGACAUGAUAAUGUUUUUCCAACUGUAAUUCAUUUUGCCAUUUGCAUCUUAUCAUCAUAUUCGACGGGAUGCAACCUUUUAAUUCUCCCUCCAACAUUCACUAUAAUUUGUGUUGCAUCUGGCUGUCUAAGUUCCCCAUAUUUUUUAUAGUAACCUUCAAUUUGGAACGUUAAUUUUCAUAUGCCGGAUGGCAAUUAUAUCUACAACUGUUUUCUUUUUUAUACCUAUAGACGUAGAAGACAAAAUUGCUCAGCUCCAUUUUGUCUGCAUCAGUACAAUUUUGUUUUUGUUUUCUUCUUUAUGAGGUCAUUUGGCACUUUAUGUCCUUGACUUUCUUUUUUUGGUAAUUUGAACGUGGAAAUAUCUACAGGGUUAGACCGUUUGGUUGCUUUGAUUUUCCUGAUGCAGUUUGAUGUGUAUGUGGUACCGUAACUCACUUGCUGAUGCAUAGACCAUAACUCCUACUGAAAUUUUGAAGCAUUUGUCUUGUUGGUGUUGUACUGUCGGUACUGAUCAUGGGACGGAUUGCCCCAUCACGCAAGUUCUGCCAUGACAAUUAAUCUUUGUUUCCCCAACUGUUGUUCAUUGUCCCGUUUGAAGAAUAAGUAGAUCCGUAUCGUACACAGUACCGUGAUGCCUUGUGACCUGUUUUAGGAUGUGAAUAUGACUUGUAACAUAACAAGCUCUUUGAAAUUUUCGUCGGACUCUCUCUAUCCUGCAGGCCAGGAUCUUAGCCCUCAACGCCUUGUAUUUCCUGAAGUGCGGCGGCCACUUUGUCAUGUCAAUCAAGGUACCACUUGCUGCUAAUAAUUUCAUAUAUUCAGACCUUUCAUAUAGUCAAAGGUUUGCUGGAGCGUGCCGGCUUCUUUAUUCUUUUUUCUUUCAAAAAAGAAAAAAAAUUGAUUUCACUGAAGUAAUAAGACAUCCCAAAGCAAGAAGCAGCAGAGAUGCCUUAGAUAAAUUAACUACCUGAUGAUGCUUUAUUUUUCUACCCAGGCGCGACUGCACGCAGCCUGCGGAGGCGGUGUUUGCCAGCGAGGUGGAGAAGCUGAAGGCGGAGCAGUUCAAGCCGGCCACGCCUGCGUGGUUGGCGGCUACAGGAUGCCCAAGAAGCAAAAGCCAUCCCAAUAAGAAAGGGCUCCAUUGCCUAGUCGAUUUUUUAAAAUUUUGAUUGAAGUAUAGUGUCACGCCACGUGGCUUUGAGUAGGUCUUGAAGAAAUUCGGUUUUGAUCAUGUCCUUUUAUUUAUGAAAUCGGUAAGGAACGAUUUUGAGUAGACCUGGUUUGAAUCACGAGCUUGCAAUAGCGUAAUAUAUAUAUAUAUAUAUAUAUAUAUAUAUGCAGCUUUAUUCCUCUUGGACAGACUUGAAUGAAAUUUGCCAUAUUUUCAGCAGAUCUGAGCUGCCGUUGUUUUUGUUUUUCCCCCCUCGAGACGUGUCAAAGCGUUCGCCCGGCAGAGGCUCAGUAAGUUGUUGACUCUGGCUGUUGACAAGAUCGCUCGCUGGCUUGGCAGUUGGCAGUUGGCGUCGACUGGCUACCAGCUCUGUGAAACUGCCGAAUCGAUUGCACACGGACACGGUUUUUUUUGGCUUUGUUUUGCCUGCCAGCAGAGAGAUAAAAGGCGACUGACUGCGCGCCUCCCUUGUUGCUGACGACCGUAGAGGAGGCCGGCCCGGGUAGGUUGGGAGUUGGGUCUCGUGGGCCGCGUCGCCAGCGGUAUGCAGGAGUGAGUCGCCAUGAGAGCACGUGCUGCUGCUUUUUUGUGGAGCGUGGUUGGUGGCUUGCUGCGCUACUGCGCUACUGCCGGCCGCUUACUGUCAAGGUGCGGCCGCCAGAGAGAGAUAGAGGCUGGUUUGGUGAUGGUCCUAGUGAUGGUUAUCUAUCCAUCCAUCCAGUGAUAACGAUUUCUACUCGCUUCACUUUUUCUCCGAUAAGAUUUUAUCAUAAAUUACUUUAUUAUAAUAUUUCGCUUAUGUUGUAAUAAAAAAAAGUAGUUUCUAACAACCUAUAAUAAUUCACUAAAAUUCCAUCCAAUAAAAUAAAGUAUAAAUUUCCAAGAUGGUAGAUAGCAACAUCAAACGCAAUAAUCCCAUAAUGUUGAGAGAGAGAGAAAAAGGAAUUAUAAGAGAGAAGAAUAUCCAUUUCAAAGCAUUUCUAACGGAUUCCAUCGUUGAGAUUACCGAACUCAAUCUCAGAUUAACGAAAUAGAAGCCAGCGGAGUAUAGAUAAUCCGGAUGGCUUCGUAAUCCUUGAUCCAUCCGCCAAGCCAACCCUUCCCAUCGGAUUAACCCCUCUAGCAAUUUUUGUCGCCCGUGGCAGGUUAGCUUUUGCGUUGGAUUACGAUUGGGUUCAUGCCAUAUCCCAUCCGUCCAUUCCCCACAUCCACCGUCACUGUGGAACGCCACGCCAUCCCCGACCGACCCCCCACGACCCCGCGCGUCAUCGACACGCGCGCUGGGCCCCACCCGAGGAGACGACUCGGACUCCGACUUGAACCUCCCCGCGAGAGCGAGAGGGAGGAGAGCUCCAAAUAAAAGCGACCCGAGCCUCGCCGUCCUCACCUUCCUCGUCCGUCGUCUCGUCUCGCCUCGCCUCCUCCGCUUCCCAAUUCAUAAAGCGAUCGAGCUCCUUCUCGCCCGCUGAUCCCGAGCCGGAAGGAGGAUGGGCUGCGCCUUCUCGUCGGCUUCGUCGUCGGGGUCGCUGCGGCCCUGCCCCGCGGGGGUCCGCGUCAUCCACACCAACGGCUACGUCGAGGACUUCCUCGGCCCCGGCGUCGUCACCGUCGCGCACGUCACCGGCUGCUACUACGCCGACAAGGACGAUCACCCCGCCGCCUCGCCGCGCUACGUGCUGUGCUCGUCGGCGCACCUGCUGCAGCCGGGGCGCGGUCCGUUCCGCCCCGACGACACGCUCCAGCCCGGCACUGUCUACUUCCUCCUCCCGCAGUCGGUGUUCCAGUCCGAGUCCUCCGCCGUCGACCUCGCCUGCCUCAUGAACCGCCUCACCGCGCUCGCGCGCAAGGGCUGCGCCACCGCCGCCCCCGCGCCCAACCCUGUCGAGGCGCUCUUCGCCGGCGCCACCGUCGCGGCAACCCCGCAGCAGCAGCCGCUGGCGGCGGGGGUCAAGGAGCCCGCCGCGCCGGGGCGGCCGGCGCCGUGGAGGCCCCGCCUCGACCGGAUCGACGAGUCCAUCGGCCGCGCUUCCAUGCGCAGCGCGUCCAGCCGCAGCGCCUGCAGCGACGCCUGAACGAUGCGGUCGCCGUCACCCAUUAUUAGCUUGGUUGUUAGAUUUCCCUUUUCUUUUCUUCUCCCUCUUCGAUUCUCUAUGCAAAUAUAUAGUACAUACAGGUUUUGUACAUGUUUUGUUGUAGCAUAGCAUCCAUUCGAUUGAUCAAUGGUGUAAAAAUAGCAGGGCCAGAUUAAAUUGUUCAUGAUGAGUUCCUCCCUAGAUUCAGAGCAAGUUCAGAGCAUGCGUAAGAGAUCGAGCAGCAACCUGCUCUUCCAGAUGGUCAGAGUUCGGACCCCGGAAACAUGGUUCAGUUUCACCACGUAAACUUGUUGAUCUUGUUGAUCCAGGACACUUGAGGUGUUUCCGGUGGAUUCAGGAGAAAAAGGCAGGUUCCUGAUGCAAUGGAAUUAUUGGUGUUCGAUUUGGAUGCAGGAUGCCGGUGGAACGACGACGAGCACGAGCCCUGCCCUGGGUUUUCCAGGCCCCGGUGGACGGCGUGUGGCAGCGGUUUGAAGCGAAAGCGAGUGGAUUUACACUGAUGACUCGGCCACAGUCUUGCUCCGCCGCCGCCUGACCGCCGCCGAUAAGCGACGAUGAGGGGUCUCCAUCACGCGAGUCCUGUGCCUUGUCCGCAUCGCCUUCGACCUCGCGCGGCCAAAUGGAGCCCAAACUUGUUGACUUUUUGCGCAAUACAGUAGUAUAAAUCUUUCACAUACUUUGUUUUCCAUAAUCGUACAGUAAUCAUACGGAAGAGAUUGUUUUCCAAAUAAAAUCCAAACAGCACGACCUCAUCGCUGUUUUGUUUGUUCAUCGGUUUUCGUACAUGCGCUCAGCAUGUCCGUCUCCAUCCAGGUCUCCGCGGCAGGUCGGCUGGCAAAAUGUCAUCGAACCCGAUCGCGAGCCUUGUGCUGUGCCUGCAUCGCUUUCAUUCGACCAAAGCGCGGCCAAAUGGAGCCCAAUCGUGUUGACGUUUGCGCGCAGAUAAUUAUAGAAAUACAUCUCUUUCCGUUACUUUACUUGCCUUUCAUGCAUGAUAGCAAGUUGCGAAUCAUGGAAAAGUUAUGUGCUGUAUUCAAAUAAAAAUCCAAGCAGCCUGAUCGACCUCACCGCUCUGUGUUUUGUCUGUUCAUCGGUUUCGUACAAGGCACUCGCAUAGUACAAUCCGUGAUGAACCACAUCACGUCCAUGUCUCCUAGAGGUCAUGUGUUUCACAAAAUUCAUCGAAAUUUUAUAUAACUAAGUAUAAAUUAGUAGUACACGCGGCAUGCUUGUGCCAUCUGGACAUCUGGUUUCGUACGAGUAGGAGUCGGCCGUCCAAGUCGCCGUCUCUCCCUCGUCAGUACGGCACGCACCAAACGGUGUGUGUGUGUGUGGAAACGGCGAUCGACACACCAGGAUUCUAAAUUUUUCAAAAAAAAAAAACAGACACACCAGGAUUCUAGGGUCAGGCCACUUGACGAUUGAUAAGUAUACUGAGCACACCAACUGUUUUCUCGAGAAACUUUUAUUAAAAAAUAUCUCGAGAAAAUUAAUUCUGAAUGAUCCAUCAGGUUCAGGUCGGGUGGCUGGUCUCUUUCGAUCAGCACCUGCAGCGGACACACUCGGUAGCCCCAGCCCACAGGUAGAGUAGGCAGGUAGUCAGGCCCCCCCUCUUUCAGUUUGAUCUUUGGGAGUGCUUGGUUUGAGGAGGCAUCCAUUCUGAACCAGGUGGUACAUCAUAAGUUAAUUUUCAAAUUUGAUUUAAUAAAUCUAUUCCUUGUAUUAGUACUAACUACUCCUUCCGUUCCAAAUUACUAUUCGUUUUGUAUUAGUACUAACUAGUCCUUCCAUUCCAAAUUACUAUUCGUUUUGGCUUUUCUAGGUACAUAGUUUUUGAUAUGCAGCUAGAUAUAUAUAACAAUAAAUAACAAUUUGCAGUUUGGGACGGAGGGAGUAUUAGUUUCCGAGGAAGGAUAUAGUGAUGGAUGGAUCAACUCUCAUUCCAUUACGCAAAUUAAAUAAAAAAAUAACAAUUGAAAAAUGAUGGAACUAUCUCAUUACCCAAACUAAACACCCUAUUUAUUAUUGGCUCUCCUCUUGCUCUACCAUCAACACGUACGAGAGAGCCAGUCGAAGGCUUGGUCGUGAUUUGGAAGCAAUCUCAAGUCCCUGAUCAGUGGUCGUUGCCAUCAAUGUUGGUUGACUGACCGUGCCCCGGAGAGCACUGCGCCUCCGGCGACUAACUUUUGAUUUUCUGGCCACCGGUUGCCGCGAACCUUUGAAUCCUUCAAACCACACAACUCGUGUACGUGUUAGUGGACGAUGAAUUCUUGUUUGAUUAAGUUAGGGCGCCACUACUGUCAAUCUUAACACUCAAAAAACACGUCUUUAUCAAGCAAUUCGGACCGUGCUGCAUCAUCAGACUCGGCAACGGCGCGUGCAACAUCUGUCGAGCACUACUGGGGUCCAACACUUAAAACAUCCCAGAAUCCAGAUGCAAAAUUGAUGGCCGUUGUUUUCAGUAUGUAGUUUCUAUCAUAUGUUUGGACGCCAAAUCUUUUGACUCUAAGGGGUCACCAGACCUGGGCUUGGAUCUCAGUGUCAGAGAUUGAGCACACAAGAUGAAAAGAAUCUUUGGACAUUUCCAGGCCAGUGAUGCUGUAUUUUGACUGCUUUUUCUGCAGUGCAUCACCUACUCAACUUAUUGGAGAAGCGUUUUCAGCAAGGUCGUCAAGAUAGGAACUGAAAAACAAUUCUUGAAUUUGUCUGCUAGGAAAAUGAGCCCCAUGUGUAACCAGUAUUUACAGAGAAAGUCCACGUAUAUACAAAAACAAUUGCUGGAUUGCUGGUCCUUCCAGCAUGAGGUUAUCACAGUAACAUCAACAGGAGCAAUCACCGAGGAAUCGAAACAACAGGACAAACCUGGAUAGAUAUCAAGAUGAUACUCUCAAGAAUGUUUCACGUGGCAAGUGCGAUAACAUGUUUUUCACAAAACAGAAUGCACAAACAUACAAUUUUACUUUUCCAUAACUGAUGAAGAAAUAACAGCUCUGACUGAAAAACAUACCAAAUGGCAUCCUUCUUUUUUUCUUGAAUAUUCACAUGAUUGUUGUUCGUGCUACGAAUCACCAGCUCAAAUUAUGGGGCAAGCGUGUACAUCAAUACGGUUGCAAAGAUAUGAACAUAUACCGAUUCUUAAUUCAUGGUGCUAGGAAAAUGAGUCCGUGUAACUGGUGUUUACAUAUUAAUUAAGUCCGCACAGAGGAGCAAUAUCGAAUUGCAGGUCCUUCAAAACAUCAACACAAGCAUCACUUAGGCCACCAAGUACUAACCAACAGUAUGACAAAUAUGGAUACCAAAAAUGGCAUCUUUUCUUGUUCACACAGCACAUGCCAUGACACUUAACUGAUUCGAAAGAUUUCACUACGACUCUGGAACAAUAUAUCUUGCAAAACAGUGCAGGGAAAUCUAUUCUAAUUUUCUAUGAAACUUGAGACAUUCAAUUUUUCUGACAACACUAUAUUUACCUAAAUCUUAUGCAAAAGAACUGAGGCAUGCAACUCAAUUCUCUGAUCAGGUUCUUCAUGAGAGGCACAAAACAUAGACACAAGCACAUAAUGUGCUAGUAAGGCAAGCAAAUUCGUGGUUAUGCGGCAUUGUGCAUCUCGAAGCAGUGGAGUUGGAAAAGUCACCGGCGAGCGGUGAUGUGUACUAGCAUACAAGCUUUCUGCACUUUAGUCACCAUUGACUUCAACAUAAGAUGCCGCAAUAGCACCUCUUGAAGUCCCUUUCCUUGCUCCCAUGUCCAACCUAAUAUCUACCACACGUCUCCAAUCCUCAUCUGCAGCAUACAAGUUUGACGCCAGUACGUAAUUCCCCUCAUGGUGGGGCUCCAUGCCGAUCACAUGAUCCAUCACCUUCCUUGCUAAGCUGGCAUUCCCAUGGUCACGACAAGCACCGGCCAAAACACGCCAUAUCAUAUGAUCAGGCUUAACAGGCAUGGCCAGGACAAACGCAAAUGCCUCGCCCAAUGCUCCAGCUUUGCACAGCAUGUCUACCAUGCUCCCAUAGUGCUCCAUCCAUGGUGUGAUGCUGUACUCCCCCACCAUGGACUUGAACAGUUGGCACCCCUCGUUCACUAGGCUGGAGUGACCACAGGCAUUGAGUACACUCAAGAAGAUAACCUCAUCAGGCUGGAACCCUUCUCUGAGCAUCUGCGCAAACCGAACAAGGGCAGCCACUCCAUGCCCAUUCAUGGCAAGUGCUUGUAUCAUGGCCGUCCACGAAACCACUGUCCUCAAUCCCAUCAGGUCAAAUAUCUCACAUGAUCUCCUCACCCUCCCCAUCUUCCCAUGCAUGUGUAUGAGGGCAUUGGCGAUGCGGGUGUUCUGCAGGAACCCAUUCUCAAGCGCACACUGUUCCACCCAGUCCCCCAAACUCGACAUGCAGUCCAGCUUAGUGCAGGCCGAGAUGACAGCAAGCAGGGUGACCUCAUCGACCUUGACACCAGAAUUCCUCAUCUCCUCGAACACUUCCAGUGCCUCAGUUGGGCGCCCAUUCUCGGAGCAAGCAUUGAUCAUGGAUGUCCAAGAAACAGCAGUCCUCAUGCCAACCCCCAUGCCGGUGAACACCAUCCUCGCAUCCUUCAGCCGCCUGCACCUGCCGUACAUGUUCACCAACGCACUGAGCACGGGCAGGUCAAGAUCGACGACGUUCCUCACAGCGUACCCGUGGAGCUCCCUCCCGUGCACUGAGCUCCUCAGCUGCGCGCACGCGGACAGGAGGCUCGUGACCGAGAUGCCGUCUGGCCGUGCCCCCGCGUCGCGCGCCAUGGCGGACGCAGCGGCCAGGGCGUGGCGGGGGUGGCCGGAGCGCGCGUAGGCGGAUACCAGGGCGUUCCAUAGCGGGAUGUCCGGGCGCGGGAUUUCGUCGAACAGCUGGCGCGCGGCGGCGAUGCGGCCGGAGGCAGCGUAGGACUUGAGCAGGGCCGAGCAGCAGUGGAGGCAGGAGGGGACGACGCUGAGCUUCAGGGCGUGCGCGUGGAGGCAGGUCGCGGAGGCGGCGGAGAGCGCGCGAAGGAUGGCCGCGCCGGUGCGCAAGGCGGUGGCGCUCAUGGGGCAUGGCGGCGUCCACGGCUCGGCGGCUUUAACACAGAGCUCGGAGGAAGCAGGUCCCACAGAACAGACACCUGCUGCCCGACGGAAACGGACUGAGAUUAUUCGACGCGAUCGAAAACUGGGCCAGCGACAUUCUCCGCCAUCCAAAUAUUGAGCCCAAAGUUCCUCUCUAAAAGAAUAUUGGGCCCAAAGUAGGUCGCAUUGGAUGGAUCCCAAUGUGGGGCCCAUUGACGAAGCCUCGUUUGUGGUCCAGAGUUGAAGGCUGUUUAUUCGGCCUUCUGCAUUUUUGCAUCGUCCCAACAAAAUUGGUGCCAUCUUGAAAAGAAAUUCUACACGUUUUAUUUUCAAAUGCUUAGAUUUGAGAAAAAAUAAAUGAAGAUUUCUGAUAUGUAGGAUCAAACUCUGAGCGAAACACACAAAAAAGAGUAGGAUGGGAUUCAAAUUUCCAUGCAUUAGAAUUAGAAAAGGACGUGGCUACAAGCCCCAUACAAGAGAUACCCUGAUCAUGUCAAAUAGGCUUAAGCACCCACAUAUAUUUUACAACCUGGGGGACAUGCAUAACAAGUACAGCAUUUUGCUAACUCUUAUUCUCUACAAGCUAUGAAAAAAUUACAGCAUUCCUCUGCAGCUCAAGACCUCGGACUUCAGAGGCACAACUCCGCUCUUCCUAUUCUCUACUCUCUAGCGCUUGUCACAGUCGUCUUCUACCUAUUUGAAUCCCAUAGCUACCACUGGGAUUCUGACGAGGUGACCUCUGUCGCCUUUCAUCCUGAUCUCGCCGAAAUUGUAGGUGCCAGUCACGGACCUAGCUGUCAGGGUUACCGUUAUAUCCCUAGAUGCUCCAGGGAGCACUGUGAGGGCUGCAGGUGUCACAUCCAGCGCUAUUUCUGGCGGCAUUCUUGUCAUGAUGGUGUAGGUCUCGGUCUCUUCAGACACGCUCGUGACAGUCCGCUUCACUGUCACCGUGCCUCGAAGUUGAGAGAUGGUGAUUGAGGGGAUGUUGAGAUCAUAAGGACGCUGUCCGUUGGAGCUGGAGUUGCAGGAUGCACCAGCUAUGUUUGACACUUCACUAUGAUUGACGUCUGGGAUCGAGCACAAAAAUGUGAUGUAGUCUUCAUGGGCUGCCAGCAUGAAUAAAGCAAAAUUAGACAAGGGAUGUGGCAUUGCCAUCUGAAUAACUUCGACCAGCUUAUCUAACAAAAAAAAUUGGCAGUGAUUGAACUUACUUGCAUCUAGAACAAGGCCAGGAUCAAGGGCAGCUUUUGGGUUAACUGCACCACUGCCACAAUCAAAUGGUGUGGCCCGUGAAAGUGUCAUCAUUUCUGAUGUCGUGUAUUGCUGCGCUCUAAGAGGAUGGCUCCCUUUGUCCAGUGUAUUAGCCGUAGUCAUCAAGGCAGAUUUUAUUGCUGAGGGGCUCCACUUCGGGUUCUUCUGCUUUAUCAGUGCUGCAAUACCAGCAAUGUGCGGUGCAGCCAUGCUAGUUCCGGAAACCAUGGCAAAUCCUUCACCUGGAAAAUGUUACCACCAGAUGAGAAUUUUUAGUAAGCUCAAACACAAACCGAUUGUCCUUAUGAAUUACCGAUCCACAAGAAAUACACAAGGAUGUCGUAACUUGUAAGUGUUGCACUGAAAUGCUGAGAAUUGAGGAGGGAAACAUUUACAGACAAAGCUUACCAGCAUAGUUUGAUUCAUCUGUUCCAUUAGGUGCCCAUGCAGCCCAUAUAAGAUUGCCAGGAGCAAGUAUAUCUGGCUUAAGAACAUCAGCAUCUUGAAAGCUAAAAUCUUUUACAUCGGGUCCUCGAGAAGAGAACAGCGCAACCUGGGGAGCUGAAUUGUAUAAUGUUGGUGCCAAACCAUCUGCAAUACCUGCUGUUGCUUUAAAGACUGUAGCCCUUCCAGCCCAAUCUCUUGUGGUGGAAGAGUUGUAGUAGUCUAUAAGAUCCUACAAAACCAAGAUUGAUAUUAUUUAAGUAUUUAACUCAAGGAACAACAAUAAAUAAUGGAGCGACUUGGGGUACAAUAGAGAUGAAAGCCAACAAGAGCUGCUAACAAAGACGAUAUGAUAAAGCAAAAGAGGUAACACUAAAAGUAAUAGGAAAUAGUUAGCAUAGGUUGGUUUCGGCAUGUGGAUUGCAUCUAUCUAUACUAGAAAAUUUAAUAUAAGAGCAAAACAUGUAUAGGUACUUCACCUAGUACCACCUCCUUUUUGUCAUGUCAUCCUACAAUAGCAGCAGUUCUAUACAAUUCAGCCCACUACUCUGAAAGUUGUAUCUCCUUGUGAAUCGUGUUUCCAGCCCAAAUUCGAUGUUUUUAGAGAAUUACAUUGUGUAUUUACUGAUGUAUUUCAUGUUUACACGGUCUCAUUUUUUAGCGACAUUCAUAUGCAAUAAGGCUCUAUUAGAAGUAUAAUACCGUUGUCUUGCUGACAUCUGUGAUGAGAAUUCCAGGGAUGCUGACUGGCACAGGAUCAAAUUUUGUUCCAGGAUAACUAUUCUCCACAGCAACAAUAAAGCCAGUCGCACCGAGACUCUUGGCAGUCUGAGACACUUUCUUUAUUGAAGCUGUCCCAGAAAUGUAAUUGAACGAAUAGCCGCACAAAAGAAUCUUUCCUUGCACCUUCCUCUUAUUCAAGAGUUCUGGCCUCUGACAGUCUAAUGCACUAUACUUCGUUGCAGAUGAACCCAGCAGAGCAUCGGCCGCAGAAAUCAGGCUGAAUGACUUGUUCCCAUGUGUUGCAGCUGCAUUCAGAUGAGAAAAACGUCAACCAACCAUAAGCAGGAACUUCAAAAGUAAUUGUCAGAAUAACAGGACCACUAGAAUGGCUUGUUCUAUUUCAUUUUGCACAAUUUCUAUAAUGUGGUCUGAACAUUGUACAUUUGUACUGAUAACAAGUCAAUGCAUUUGCUGAAAAUACACAUCAAAAGGACUUACGUGAUACUCCAAGUCCAGAAAGAAGUUUCCCAUUUCCGAGUGUUAAAUGAUUUUUGUAUCUACGGUCAUCAACUCCAGCAGCUACGGUGGUUAUCCAUGGGCUGAAGGAGACCAGUGUUUUUGGAAAUGGUCCUCCAUUUCCAGCAGCUUGGGCAACAAAAACCCCAGCUUUCACAGCAGAGAGAAGAGCUGCAUCAAAAGGGUUCAAAAACGUAGUCCGCGUAGCUGUUGGUGGGCUAUUUGGUCCAACCGAAAGGUUGAGAAUGUCAACACCAUCCUGAACAGCCUGCAAAUAGCUAUCCAUGCAUUAGCUCCCACAUAUUGGAGGCUUGCAAUAGUGACACAUGUUAUUAUCUACCCUGUCUUCUUCUAUUCAGUGCACGACAUGGUUUAAAGUCAGCGUUAUCAGAUCUUUGUUAAGUCAGCGUUAUCAGAUAUUUGUUAAGUCAGCAUUAUCAGAUAUUUGUUACAACAUCUAGCAAGAAAAUGAACUUACAUUGUACUUCAUACUUGUCAAAGUGUAACAUCCGUUAUACCCAACAGCCUAUCAGGAUUAAAGAAAAUAAUAGCACCCCAAAUUUGUUUAGAAGAAAGGUUGGGGCUCUAUUUAGAAACUGGAAGCUACAUAAGCUACCAACUUAUUCAACUGUUAAAACUUAAAACCACUAUGCCCUUUCUGCUAAUUUUUCUAUCAAGUCAACCUUAAGGAAUGCUGCCAAGCGCUUUUAUCAAACAUCUUUUAACAUAUCGCAGAAUCCAGCAAAAGAUUGCACACAAAGAAUUUCCGGAUCACAUAUCAUACCUGAUCGAUAGCAGCCACAACAUCAGCUACAUAACCACCAAAGAGUCUGUAAAGAACCUUGUAGACAGCUAUCCUAACAGGCACAAACUAAAAGACGUUAGUCGUUGGCAAGUAAGCAACAGAUAAAUGGCUUUCUCAAAAACUAAUCAUCAUGAUACUGAUAGAAGAUAGGUGCUUCUGUAGUAUUCCUGAAUAAAACUGCAUGUAACUUCAGAAAAUGCUAAAGAAAUCAAAGCUCACCUAGCACGUGGAGCCAUGCCGCUUGCCUUUCCAAAUUCAUGACCAUGCAUUCGAACCGGAAUUCCAUUGUUUCCAGCGGCAAUUGCAGCCGUAUGACUGUUGAAGGAAAAUACCAUACAUGUAUCAGAUAAGUCCUGUCAUUUUCCAAAAAGAUAAAAAAGAAGUGGAAUAACUAGUUUUGAAGAAAAACAUGCUUCAAGCUGAGAGGUUUCCUCUGCAGGCCAAGCAUUGUAAUAUAAACAGUACAUUUCUGAAGUUACAAGCAUGAAUGCAAAUAGUACAUUUGGCUGCUCCAAACCAGAGCAGCACAUAUAAGAGCUAAGAGGAAAUCAUCAGGGGCAUGACCUUCCAUGACCAUCACCAUCUAAUGGAGAUGCAAAUUCAAUAUCAGGAUUAAACGCUCCAGCAGCCAUGGCAGCUUUCGCAAAAUGCUGGGCCCCAACUAUCUUCCCAUUACAGAAGCUUCUAUGUGUUACUGGAUCCAUCUCACAUUUCCCUUUAUAACGAGGAACAGGUCCAUAAGGAUCAGUUUUGUGGGAAGAGAAGCUCGGAUGUUGCGGAUAAAUUCCAGAAUCCACAAAGCCAAUCACAACAUCUUCACCAGCUCUAUCAAAUCCACCUCCUGUUGGCCACACCCCAGUUGGCAAUCCAAGAAACUGAGGGGUGUGUGUAGUCAGUUUCUGUAUCUUCAUGUCCCUCUCAACAUGCUUAACUCCUGGGGCUUUCCUCAAGAACUCAGCCUAGGACAGGGAAACAAUAUGUUCAAUCAAGAUAACAACAACGAAGUGGAACAGAGAAAAGGAUAUGUGCCUCUUAGCAAAAUUGGGAUGUCAGAUACCUGCAGAGAUGACAUGUGAACUGCGAAGCCAUUGAUAAGAUGAUGGUAACUAUAAAGCUUCUCGUAAGUCCCUUCUACAAAAAGUGAGUCUAGGAGAUUGUCAUGGUGCCUUCGAAGGUGGAGCGAAUACGAUGUGACAGUUUCACUGCAAAUCAGAAAAUUUGGAGUGAAGACAAAACUAUCGCGUUUGCACCAUAAGCACAAGAAGACUGCAAUAUAAAACUUAAUCAGGAUAUUUCAAGUUUGAAACCAAGGAGCCUACAGCAAAACAACAACAGGUGAGCACCUAUUUUUAAAGUUUUCACAUUGUAAAUUCUCAAUUAGUGUAUUGUUCGCAUGAGUGCAGAGCUCAGACCCUACCCAAUACAUCUUUGAUAACUGACAUACUAGUAGAGGCAAAAGAGUAGGCGCUUCCAUCAACAACUUUGAUAUGGAGCUAAAUAACUCAAUAUCAAGUUCAAAUCGCAGCAAAACUUGAGAAAUGAAAUUCAACAAGGCCUGAGUUCAGACUUUGUAGACAUGGUGAAAAGCAUCAGCAAGCGUACAAUACCUGGUAACAUCCAUCUCCUCAUCCAAAUCCACAGCAGUUGCUGGAAACCCUUCAACACCACCUCGGUAGCUCACAACUGGAUCCCCUUCCAUGGUCACAAUGUAGACAUCAUGUGUUCCAAGGACCACUUGUUGCACAAAGACAAGAAGCAAACAUGCAAGCUUGAUCCUCUUCAUCUUCGACAGUGUCCGGAACGCGGCACAGCAGAACCUUCGAAACAUAGGGAGUGAGAAACUAUCAGGUCACGCACUCAACACGGACAAAAACAUUCGCAGUCAAAAACUUGGCAUGCCCAGCAAGCAUAUUAGUCCAACGGUAGAAGUACAGUGGCUACGCGCCAACACUGACUGCUGCAAAAGUUAUCGAACACCGUCAAGGGGGCAUGGCACCACUCCCCGCUGGUCCCGCCCGUACCCCGCGGUGCCAGAGCUUGCCCACCUUCACAGGGCUCCCAUGGAGUGCGCAUUUAUGGAAGGAUUGGAAGCUCUUAAAUUUGGGAGUGCCCAUAGAUAUUAAAUGGCUCAAGUGACACUGGUAGUAAAUCAGUAGUAUGAACGGCUGCCGCAUUUCUCAUUUCUCCCUCUUGAGAACGGAUUGAUCUUUACAUGAACUGAACUUUUUGUCACUUUUUAUUUGGGGAUGAAGAGAGCAAAUAUUUCGAUUGGGUGUCCCUUCCCAAGAAGGUAAGAACAAAACAGAAUCUUAUUUGCCCCGGACAAAAAAAAAACAGAACGCUUGCAGCAAUCAAUCCAAGCAAACCUAAGAUUACUCACUCUGCAACACAAGAAAUGGUUCCUCCGCUUCCAGGUGGAUCUCCAGCCCACCACGCUGGACACCGAGGGAGGAGCUGCGGCGCGGCCCCAGACAGAGAAGCAAGUGGCCGCUGGGUGGCGGCGGGAGUGGCUCCGGCGGACGGGAUCACUCCACCUCAAUCGCGCUUCCCAAUGGCGGCGACGGCAGCGGCAUGCCCGGCGCGAGGUGCGCGAUGGGCCGCGAGGGUUAGGGUUUGGGAAGCGGGAGAGUGGGGGGGGGAGCGAGCGAAGUGGCCGCGGUGUGGUGUGGAGUGGAGCGGAGUGGAGGGAGGCAAAGCUGCGUGCUUGCUGGCUAAUGGUGCGUCGCCUUUUGGCUGCCUCUCCCUUGUCUUUAAUGGAGGGAGGCAACAGCCAAGGCAAGCAUCUCAAAUCCUUUUUCUCCCUCUCUUUUUUUCCUCCCUCACGCUUUUGCCACGUCGCCUCCCACGUAGACUGGUCGAACGUGACCCGCACUGUCAGUGAGAGUAACGUGACAGAGGCGGUGUACGGCACGGUUUUUUUUUAUCGAAGGUGACGCCUCCUCCUCCUCCGCCCAUGGCGGCAUGGGCAUCGGGCCGGGAUACUAGCAACUGCACCGGGUCUUGGUGGAUUCGCAGGCGAUGGCUCCACCUGUCAGUGGGUGUCGGUUUAUGGACUUGGUCUUCUUAGGAGCGGAUCCGUGAACUCGGGCGUGUGCGCGCGUGACCGCCGCGGCCGUGGGUCCCGCGGUGGAGCGGCGGCCGCUCGCCCUCUUCCGCGUGCGUGCGCCUGGUCCUUGCGGUCCAACAGACGCGGGCCCCGAGUGCAAGUGACUUGUCAUCCGUGGACCGCGCCCACUGACAGGCCAGGGGGAAUGGAGCGGCGCCUCGGUGCUGGCGCGCCGAUCCAGCUCUGGCCGCUUGUUGCCCCUAGCAAGUUACUCGGAGCAAGUGUCGUGUCGGUCGGCGACGGCGCCGCGCGCGGCCCUCCGUGGAGCCUGUCCACUGGACCUCCGCCGACGUGGCAACAGCCACGCGCCGACGGCCGACGAGGCUCCUGAUGCCGAGCAGCGACUACGGCGGCGCACAGGCACAGCUGCUGUGCACGUGCGCCCAGGUUUUGAGCUUUUUGAAUGGAGACUUCAACAGAGCAGAGGAGCGCGAGCAGCCGAGCUGGAUGCCUUGCCGGGAUCACGAGAUAUGCAGGGGAAUUAGAGACGUUGCGUGUGUCAGGGCGGGCGCUUUGAUUCUUGAUCCUGAGCCGGGCAGGCCGUCCCCGACGUGCCACGCUCCAUCAUCGCAGCUCGCAGGUUUUCAAACGGGUGGCUCCGCGGUGCGCCUGGGACUGGGAAUGGUAUCAGAUCAAUAAUGCUGGUGCGGCGUCUCACCGAUCGAUCUUCGGAUGACAAUCUGUGGCACUGAGCUGCAGCUGCAGCUGCUGCUGUGCUCGUUGUCGUAUGCGCUAUGCCGGUACGUGAGUGUAGCAGUGCACUAAUUGUCCGAUGUCUCCCGAUAAGGCCACGUACAACGGUUGCUGUCGGUAAACUAUGCCAGGUCACACACAGACAGCUAAAAAGAUAGAUUGUACGAUAAGUUAUCUAUUUAGCUGUCUGUAAGGUACUUAAUUUAUCCAUUAACAUGUUAAUCAAGUAUAAAUUUGAUCUUUUGUAGCUAUCUAUGUAGCCGACGAGAUGAUUCAGAUGAUGUAUAAUGUGUCGAUCUUAGCCAACUUCCCAUCAAUUUUCCUUCCAAACGCUUAUAAUGUGUCGUCCUCGGCGAUGAAAUCUUCAAUUGUGUAUACCUUUGCUGGAUCAAAAUUUUAAGUUCUUCCAUGACUUCAGACUCGAGCUUCAUCAGUAGCAUCCAUUUCUUUUGUGCCUUCACCAGUGGGUUCAAGAGUGCCUGGUUCAUCACUACUCGGAGUAGGAUCAUCACUGGCGACAUUGACUGGAGACUGGAUCUUUAUCCCUGCAAAAGUGUACACUAUGCAAAAAGCAAUAUGAUAUAUUACAGAUGAGCAAAAAAUACCAGCAUAUAUCACAAUGAAUGUAAAUAACACUCUAGUUCCCAAUAAUGAUCGAACAAUGUCAUCUUGUGCUAGACAUGUUGAGAUUUAGCAAAGCUGUUGUAAUGUUCAUGGUUUUCUUUCAGUAGUUCUAUUCCUAAUCUUCAUGAUCUUGCACAUGUAAAUGGAUAGUUAGACCUACUGAGGUAAGUACAGAUUAUAAAGUAUUACUCACUAGCAAUAUCCGUGUCAACUGCAAGUUGAACUAAUUGCCCAACUGAGCAAUAUAAAAACUAUACUCAAAUCAUACCUUCUAAUAGAACUGGACUCAAACAUCUCCGAAAUGUACUUGCAUCUUGGGGGCCUAAUCAUGGAUCAAAUGUACUUACAUCUACAAAGAUGUGUUACUGGCAAAAAUUGAUUACAAAUACCUGCAAUCACUAGUUUCUAUGAACAAUCUUAAAAGAAAUUGGAACGAUUUGUUACUAGGUAGCUGGAUCUGAAGAUUGAGGAAACAUCAGUUGUUGAGAGUUGAGACAGUGGGCUAUGUUCAGCGUUGGGAAAGAAGGUGCCGGUGAAGAAGCUGCUCCUGUUAGUGAAGCAGCUGCGGUAAAUCCACUACCGCGCUCCAGCGCAGCAGCGGCAAUCCCCGCGCCAUUCCGCGUCUGUGUUGUUGUCGCCGCCGCCGCGAGCCCCGCACCCUUCCACAGUUGCGCCGCUGCCGCUUUGCCCUUCAGCUACCCUGCUGACGCCGUGCCCUUCCACGCAUGUGCCGCAGCGGCCCUCCGCUCCUGCGCCACCGCCACAAUAAGCAGCUCACGCGCCGCCGCCGCUUGCUUCUCCUCUUGCCGCACGUUGCUCACUCACGCUGCAGAUGUUGGACCUGUGACUGUUGAGGUGGGGGAUUGGGGAGGAAGAAAAGGCAUGCUCCAGAAGAUUUUGCCGCCAUCCCGCAGGAAAAUCCCGCUCGCACGCAAGGGAUCCGCGGCGCUGGUGACGACUCGCAGCAGGCCGUACAACGCGCGGCUUGAGGGGCCGACUCAGGGGGUGUUUGGCUUUAGCACCCCACCUUUUAGCACAUUUUAGCACUUGAGCUCCCAAACAGGAGUGCUAAAGUUUAGCACCUACAUUUUCUUUAGCACACCCAAGGGGUGCUAAAAGGUGCUAAAGGUGCUAAAAGUGGUACCAGAUCCUCGUUUACCCCUGUUGCCCCUCCCGCAUCCUCCUCUCUCUCCGUCUCCCGCAGGCCCGCCCGCUUCCCCCUCUCUCUCCCUCUCCUGCAGCCCCCCUCCCGCCGCCAGAUCUCCCUCCGCCAUCUCCUCCCGGCGGCCAUCCAUCCCGCCGCUAUCCCAGUCCCGCCGCCCACCCCCGUCCCGCCGCAGUCAGGUUCUCCCGCCGGCCCUCCCUCACUCCGGUCGUCCGCGUCGCGCCGCCAAUCACUCCCGCCAGUCAUCCCCUCACUCCCGCCGGUCCUCCCCUCCCGCCUGUCGUCCACUGUCGACGCCUUCACCUCCCGCCUGUCGUUCCCUUCAUGCGCCUUCUCCUCCUGCCCCUUCUCCCCUUCCGCCGCCAUCCCCACCCGCAGACCAUCCCCUCCCGCCGCGCCUUCAUCUGCUCCCCACGCCACCCCCUAGAUCCACGACCUCCUCGGCCCCAGGCGUCCGCCACCGUGCCCCCAAUCUUCGCCCGGUGGUCAUGGACGGGCAUGGCGACAACGGGUUGCAGGAGUUAUUCCCCCAGCCAGAUCCACAAUUCCCCACCGGCAGCUUCGAUUUCUUGUCGCAGUCGGAGUAUUCCCGAGCUCCCCGUGAAGGCAUGGAGGCCCUGGACCUCAACUCUCAGGCGGAGGAGUUCCCCAACAUCAACUCCUACUCCGAUUUCCUUCGCGGUGACGGAGUACCCCGGGGCCGCGAAAGCCGUACCCUCGACUUACGCGUGCCUCGUGCUGGAGGAUGAGGUGGUGGUCGCAGCAGAGUAGGCAGCGGCAGCAGAUCUGCUGGCGGCAGCAGAUGUGCCGGCGGCAGCAGAGGAAGCGGCGGCGGAAGAGGAGGCGGUGGGAGCAGAGGCGGCGGUGGCAGCAGUGGGGGUGGAGGGCGUGCAACGCGCUCUUUGUUCUCAUGUGGUGCAUUGCCUGAAGGUGGUGCCGGCAGCGGAGGUCGUGGCGGUGGCCGCGGAUGUCAUCCACGAACUAGUGGUGGUGAAGCAGCGGCCGUUGAUGCAGACAAUGUAGUUGACAUUGAUGAACAAAACGGCGACGAUGUUGCAGAUCCUGUUGAAGUUAUCUUCCCCGGCUCUAAGGUAUUCUGUUGCAACUUUACUGUUCUUGAUUGUUACACAAUUUUGAUGUAUAGGAGCUUUGCCUGAGUUGAACUGCAUAGGUUGGUUAAAUUCGUAGUGGUAGCUUUGCCUGAGUUGAAUUUCAUGGUUUGGUUAAUGUCGAUGUGGUAGAUUGUUGCAUAAUUACUAGUAUUUCAGUCAGAGUCCUACCAAUUGUGCAAUGUGUGCCUGUUUUAGUUCCAGUGCUGAUUUGAGAAUGUGUCUUGCCUGUUCUUACUAGAGGAAAAGUGACAAAGCUCAAUGGACAGAAAGAAAUACUGCUUUGUUGUGUGAUUUGUGCGUAGAGCAAGUUAGAUGUGGAAACUGCCACAAAGGUACCAUGUCUGGAAGAGGAUAUAAGAUAAUUGCAGACAAAUAUUGUAUUGCUACUGGAUUGAGGCAUGACAAAUCCCAGUUGAGGCACCGAAUAUAUCAGCUGAAAUCUAUGUUAGGAUUCUGGAAAGCACUGCAAAAGGAGACUGGCCUUGGCAAGAAUCCUGAUGGUACUGUGGCUGCCCCAAAAUGGUGGUGGGACUUACAUCUCAAGGUAAGAUGCAUAGGAUUAAUUUCCAUGCAGUUAACUUUUAUGUGGUGUGGCUAUUUGGACUUGUCUAAUGUGAAAUUGCAAUUGAUUUGAAGGGCAAACCACACUGUGCUAAACUACAAUAUGGGGCUCCUGUCUACCUUGAUCAGCUUGAGGAAAUAUUCCAAGAUGUUGUAGUCGAUAGGUCGACCUCAUUUGUGGCUGGAGUUGAACAGGAAGAGGAAGAAGAUGGGGAAGAUGCAGACUGUCAGGAUGAUGACCAGGAUGGGUCUUUUUAUGACCUUGAUUACAGCCCAUUGAGCUCUAAUAGCAAGAAAAGGUCAAGCACAAGCACCAGGUCCACUGCCACCAGUCCUGGAAAGAGGUCCAAGAGCCCAAUAGUUAAGAUGAUGAAUAGCCUAGUUGCUAAGAUGUCUGCAUCUGAUGAUGCCACACAUAUGGUAUUGAAGAGUGUGGAGAGUCUGAAUCAAUCUAUCAGUGAGAGGAGGUAUAAGAUGCCCAAGGUGACAGUGGCAGAGGAUGUUAAGAUUUGCCAGCAGUUGGCUCUAGAAUGUGGGGCAUCUCUUGACAGUAAGGAAUUCUAUGCAUGCAACGAGAUCUGUAGAGACCCAUAUUACAAGGAAUUCUUCUGUCAGCUACCUUCUGCUGAAGCAAGGAUGACAUACUUGAAGAGAUGGUGCCAGAACCAUAAUAUUGUCUAGUUAUGAAUGUUAUGUUAGGACUGCUAUGUGGCUGUUUGAAUUUUUAUGUUUGAACUUAUGUGGCUGAUUUGCAGCAUUAUAAGUGAACUUUUAUGUGGCUGCUUGCACUAUUAUGUUUGAACCUAUAUGUGGCUGAUUUGAACCAUCAUGUUUGAACUUAUAUGUGGCUGGUUGAGUUGUCAUGGUCCUAUUUGAAUCAAUUUGUGGCUGUUAAUUUUCUUUAAUAAUUGCUACUGUUUUGGUUGUGCUGCAUUAUGAUGGGGUUGAACCUAUGUAUGGCUGUUUGGACAUGUGAAGUUGAAUUAAUAUAAUGUGUGGCUGUUAAGUUUCAUUAAUAAUUGGUACUAACUUGUUUUUGCUGAAUUAGGAUGGGGUUGACUAUUUUUCAAGUGAUUCUGAUGAGGAGCUUGCAAUUGAGGCUCAAACUGUCCUGAAUAUGGCUGUCAUUAAUAGUAAGAGGAAUCACGAAAUGUUGCAGACGGCACUCAUGAUCGGUAUGUACUAUGACACUUACAUGCACAAAGCUCCAAGGAGGGUAGCCACCGUAUCGGGUAUAGAAUGGGUUCAGGAAACACUUGCAAAUAGAACCUCGUGCUACAACAUGUUUAGGAUGUCUUGCCAAUUAUUUAAUCAACUUCAUGACUUGUUGGUCGAGUCAUAUGGUUUGAGGGCAACUAGAGGAAUGUCAACGAUUGAGGCUUUAGGAAUAUUCCUAUGGAUAAUUGGUUCGCCCCAGUCACUUAGACAGGUUGAGGAUCGGUUUGUGCAGUCUUUGAAAACAAUAAGCCGCACAUUCGAUAAUGUUUUGUCCAGUGUUCUUAAGCUAGCAGUACAAAUUAUUAGUCCGAAGGAUCCUGAAUUUAAGAACGUGCACAGAAGAUUGCAAAACCCUCGGUUUGCUCCGUACUUCAACAAUUGUAUAGGAGCUAUAGAUGGGACACAUGUACCGGUUGUGGUGCCAAGUGAUAAGGUGGUUCAGUAUACGGGAAGACAUGGAUAUACCACACAGAAUAUGCUGGCUAUUUGUGACUUCGACAUGAGGUUCACAUUUGUUGUUAGUGGAUGGCCAGGAUCGGUACAUGAUAUGCGGGUGUUUAAUGAUGCCGUGAACAAAUAUGGUGACAAGUUUCCACAUCCUCCUCCGGGUACACAACUUCGUAUACGAUAAUCUCUUCAUUUGUACUAAUAUGGACACGAGUUCAUGUACCUGACAAAGUUAUCUUCAUUUGUAGGCAAGUUUUACCUGGUAGACUCGAGGUAUCCUAACCGUCCGGGUUACCUCGCACCAUAUAAGGGUACAAAGUACCAUCUCCCGGAAUUUCGAAGUGGUCCAAUGCCAAAAGGUAUGAAAGAGACAUUUAAUUACGCACAUUCGUCCCUUAGAAAUGUUAUCGAGAGGUCCUUUGGAGUUUUGAAGAUGAAGUGGAGGAUUUUAUUAGGCAUACCAAGUUUUCCAAUUCAGAAGCAAAGCAAAAUAAUAGUAGCAUGCAUGGCAAUUCACAAUUUUAUUCGAGAGAAUGCUAUCGCUGAUACGGCCUUUGAUAUGUGCGAUCGUGACAAAAAUUUUAUUCCUAUGGCCGAUCCAUCAAACCCUGAAGAACAUACGACGAAUACCCAAGCAGGGGACAAAGACCGUAAUAUGAAUGAAUUUCGUGACGAAAUAGCUAAUGGUUUGUACAAUAGAUCGUAGUUUGUUUGUGUAGUUUAUUUGUAUGGUUGUGUUGUAAUGACAUUGACAAUGCACUGCUACUCAUUGGACGAUGAAAAUAAAUUUGAAUGUAUACUUCACUGUUUGCGAAUGAAACCGGCAAGAAAAAAUGGGUCACCGCGUUCCACAUGUAAGAGCAAAGGUACCAAGUGAUCAGCAGCGCUGCACAGCCACAGCGCAAAAAAAUAAAAGGGCACGAGCAGAGUACCCUUGGCGCCAAAAAAACAGUAGCGCAGCAACAGCUACAACUUGGCGCAAAAUAAAGAAGUAGCGCAGCAGCAGCUAGAACUUGGCGCCAAGUUGCCUUGCGCAGGAACAGACACAGCUUGGACAGGCGGAGGGGUAGGAUGACAUAAUAAAUGAGGAGCACUGUUGUCAUUUGCCAUCAAAGCUGCUAAAAUUUAGCACACCAUCCAAACAGUCCAAGAUGCUAAACUUUAGCACUCUAUUUCAGAGUGCUAAACUUUAGCACUGUGCUAAAAUUUAGCACUUGCUAUCAAACAGGGCCUCAUUUCGGAGGACGUGCUCACGCUGCCGAUGAAGGAGACGCCGACUCCCUCUUCUUCCUUUGUUUAAUGAUGUCCACGUCAACCUAUUUUGCAGACGUGGUGCUAAAAAGACAAUGGCCGGCUAACCAAUGUACGGGCCCUAAUAUUACCGAGUGACACACACGGUCACCCGCACCCGGCCGGCAUUCGACGGUCAGAGGGAAAAAAUAGUCGAAAAUUCGAAAUCGGCAAGACAAAUUAGGCCCAGUAUAAUUUAGGCCUGGCCCAGAAAGCGUGACAAGCCAGGUGGGCUCUAUGUAUGAUGCAAAAUGGGCCAUCCGUCCUGGCCCAUACCACAAAGGACCAAGCCCGAUUACAUUCCCGGGCCGAGCACGCACUUGCAGAUGGCCCUUGCAGAUCCAUUUCAACCAUCCAGAGUCUGACUGACAACCUUGAGUUGACCAACGGGGUAUGUAAAAAAAAAAUAGAAGCAAAUUAAUCAGUAAUCAGCAUACAACUCAAGAUUGAGAGAGGUCACGGCAUGGACAUGUACGCAGAAUUGAACUCGAUCAAUUCCAAAUCAUCAGAUCAAACUGCCUUGAAAAGGGGCGCCACGGGACGCCAGCGCGGCGGCAGAGUACGCAUCGCCGAAGGGGUUGUUCAACUGAGACGCGGCAGCAGCAGCACCAUACGGAUACGGAGGCUGAAGCUGCCGCGGCAUCCCGAACAUGGCCUCCUGCUGCUGCGCCGCCAUCACCGACAUCUGCACGCCGGUCGGCGGCGCGACGCCCACGGACAUGGCGAACGGAUCGUCCUGCUGCUGAGAGCUCUGCCCCUGCCCGUUUCCAUAGCCAUAGGUGUUCUGCUGCCUCCUCGCGGCGUCCUCGUACAGGCUGUCCAGCAGCAGCUUGUCGAAGCCCCCGGCCUGCAAGAAACAUCGCCGCAGAUGGAGUCACCGCGUGCUUCAAGGAUUAUUGGCGGUGCCAUUGCUACCAAGAGAAGAGGUGCUGUUCUUUACCAGCUUGCUCUCUGUCAGUUGGCUGCUGCUGCUGCUGCUGGGCUGUGCCGUGACCAGAGCUAGCUCCCAGCCUGAUGAACCUGCAGUUAUCUCGCCGAAGCUGAUUGCAGAUGCGUUACCGGAACCGCCUGCCCAAUAUAGACAAACACGGUUUCGCUCAAAUUUGAUGACACAGCUAGUGGCCGUUAAAUUCAUGAGCAGAAAGUAGUAAAGGCUAAAGAGUCGGCUCGGUUGCAUGCAGCUUUACCUGGUGGUACUAUGGCAAGAGCCAGUGCAUUGCUCUCUUCAAGCGCAGCAACGGCAGGGUUUACUUCAUGUAAGCCCUGAUCAUCACCACACCGAUGCAUAUGAUCAUCUUGUUGCAGAUAAACAGCUACUGAAUAACAAAGCAAUUUACACUGACAAGAAUUACCAGUAAAUCAGCAGUUGUUGGAGUUUCAGGCUCCUCUUCGUCGCAGUCAUCUGCAAACCGAGGUUCUUCUUCAGGCUCAGGAGGAACUUCCUCCGCAACAGGUUCUUCAAACGCCUCGAACAUCGGUUCUGGGUUCUGUUCUUCUUCCUGGUAAGGAACGAAAUCUAACUGCUGGUACUCCUGUUGAAUACAGGAGCAGUUUUAGAGCUUGACAGCAGAAAACAGGCUGACUGAAUAUGCAUAAAACGAUAAAACGAGCAGAGAUUAGCUGAAUGUCACCCUAUGGUCUCAUUUGGAUCAUAAAACGAUACAUACUAUGGUCUCAUUAGGAACAGGAGCAGUUCUAGGGGCUUCUCUUAUGUACUCUUCCAUGGUUCCAAGAAAUGACGAUGGUGGCUGAAAAAAAUUCAGAAAAAUGCAUUUGGCAUCAGAAUUCAGAACUUCCAUACUAUAAGCAAAUGAACAGUGAAGGUAGUGAUGCAAGAGACCUCUCUCAGAAUUGGAAAUUGGAAGUUUCUCGCUAGUUCCAGACCUCUGCAGAGCUCGUAGAAGUCAGAAAGAGAUUUCGCCUGUUAUUCUGAUGAGCAUUAGUUUCACAUGCACGGUUGUAAAAUUCCACAAAAUAAGAGUAAUCACGCUGCAGUCAGACACACCAGAUUCCCUGUUCUUCUAUAGAUGUCUUGAGCUUUGAUAGCAUCAAGUUUUGUCAUAUCAAAGAACUGCAAUACGCCAGAAAUUACUAAAAUCAAGAAAAAGAAAUCCACAAAGUUAUAUAUUGAUCUAACAGCAAAGCAAUUGCGAGAGGGGAUAUCAUAGAAGUACCGCAUCCACAAGGUUGAUGAUCCCAUCAUUAACCGCACAAUAAAUCUUGAAGCUUUCCUUCAACACCUAAGUGAUUGCAUCUUUUCUCGUCAGCCAAGAGAUUUUUUAGCAAUGGCGCUAAACAGAACUGUCAGAGCUGAAAUUAUACAUACCAGAGCCAAGGCAUACUGUAUGAGGUAGUUUCCAAAUGCUGCCCCUUCAGGCUGCAACCACCAGUCCAUCAAGUAUGCAAGAUGAGUCAAUUUUAGUUUGGAACAGUAAUUGAUAUAGAAGAAACACUCAAGAAAGCCAGUGUUCUUUUAUACCUGACAGCCGACAAGGCGGAGGAGCAGCUGCUGCAAUGCAGGGAGCUGUUCUAAGAGGUCAUCCUUGCCUAAGGUCCUUGUUCUACUUUGCCCCUGAAAGUUAGGCAGAUGUCACAAACGGAAUGCUAGCAAGAAACUGCAUCACUGAAACCCUGCAACUGCAAGAAUGACACACAAACCUUGGGGUUUCCCUCAGCAGGUCUCAGUCGCUCCGACUCGAUGUCGUAUCUUAGGACUCUGAAGCACUCGAGCCGUUCCUCGAGAUACAGAGCAUAUGUCCGCACCCACGCCGAGCAGUCCCAUGCUGCAAGGGCAAGACCAUCGGAAAUUCAAAUCCAAGCAGGAGUCAGUUAAAACUCAUAUCAAAAUUUGCUAAAAGAAAUAUAAAGAUUCAAAUUCAUCAUGCAGAAAUGGGUGCAGGUCUGAGAGGUGAGACCUAGUGGGCUGGAGUCGUCCUUGAAGUUGGACAUCCGCAGGGCAUGGCCCUUGCGCCGGUAGCUGAGGAGCUCCUCCCUGAACGCGGCGUCGCCAUCGCGCAGCGUCCGGUGUAUCACGAUCAGCGUCUUCAGAGCAACCUGAGCAAUUCGCAAGCAUUUUCAGGAAACCAGAAAACACGACGAUCGAGCAACGCAAUUGGAUGCAGGGCCAUGGCAAUGGCGUCAGGAUGACAUACCACCCAGUUGUGGGUCUUGGCGAGGCGCCUGGCGAGAGCGUGGACGCAGUAGGAUACGUCGGCGAGCGGGCGGGAGGCGGACGUGGCGGCGAAGAUCGCUGCAGGGACAGCGAGCGAUUGGUCGGAACAAUGGAGAUCGAUGGUCGCGAGAGGACAGAGAGCGAGAAUCUUUAAUCUCACCGGCGAGGUGGCGCUCCUUGGGCGGUCGCUCGACGUGGGUGGUGGCCUUGACCACGGCGACGUCGAGGUCCUUGCGCUCACGGCCGUUGCCGCCGUUCACCUUGGCGAGCCCCACGGUGGCGGAGUCCUUGAUGGCGCCGCACGCCUUGCGCCAGCUCUUGUGCACCGACGCCGUGCCCAUCGGCGCCGCGCCGGCCGCCCCGCUCGCUUGUUUCUCUCUGCUGCCCGUUCCGUUCGCGCGACAAGUCGUCGUCGCCGCCGCCGCCGCGGGUGGUGGCUCGCGCGUGGAUGGAUUCUCCUUUUUAAAAAUUCUUUAAGGAUCUCAGAUUGGCGCGACGUGCGCGGCUGUUCCUGUGCUCCAUGCAACGCGAGCGACGCCGAAUAAAUCAAAUCAGAACGGCGGGGCCCCCGCCGGCCGGCGACCGGGCACACGGCUGAGAGGCGCUCUCUUUUGACGUGUUCUCGCUGGUUGCUGCCGCUCAGCAGGCCCCAAAUGGAGUUUACUCCAUCUGCUUGCUCUCAGGUCAGGGAAAAAUUUUCGAUUCACUCUCGCGAGAAAAUCCAAAGAUGACACAUGCAUCUCAGGAUUCCAAAUAGAGGCAUGCGUCUGUCUGAAACAAUAAGUCCAAUCGAUGCAGGCGGCACUACGAAUUCGGAAUCUAGGUGCAAAACCAUGUCGAUUUCAGAACGAGCAUUGUUGGAUUCUAUCAAGCAGCAACGCAAUAUUCCCAUAGUAGGAAUAGAUGGCACGUCGGAAAAAAUGUAUAUUUCCCAACAGCAAUAUGACAUCGUUCCAAAUAGCAAGAACCAUCAGAUUGCUAACAAGGAAUGCAGAGGUAGAAAACUGGGCAUGAUAAACCAGGUACGCAGUUCACAUUAUGAACCAACUCGGCAUUAGAAUUUCACUGUAACAACUAACAACACUGUCUAAACAUUCACUGACAGGAGACAAAGUGACAUAAAGUACUGGUACUUGACUCUGUAACACGACUAAACUCUUACAGCCACAGCAGCUAGACUAAGUUCUGCUGCCGAAAAGCAGUCGUGCUUACUCCAAAAUCCUCUUAGGUUUGGUACAUCCCGCUUGUGGCUUCAUCCAUUUGACCUGCAAGUAAAAUAGUAGGAUGGAAUCAUGUCUGACAUCAAGAGAACUAAAUGGUGAUAAUAAAGAAACAGAAUUACAACAAUGUCAAAAAGAAAACACUAAACAUGGUAAUGAGAGCCAUGUAUCCACUCUUAUGACAACGAAAAUGAUCAACAAAAUACUAAAAUGAUCAACAAAAAAUGGACAAGAUACUAAUUGCACAACGCAUGCAACAAGAUAACCAGCAUUCCAUAACGUGUACACUGUCUAUUCCAUAACAUAAAGGCACUGUUGUGUGCCAAGACUUUCUAAUUUGAAACAUUUCAUCUGGCUCUCCACUUACCUCAGGUAUCACCAGUGUCUGCAAAGGCUUUCCCACUUUCCUUGCCCCCGGCAACUGUCAAGCCAACAACAAACAAGGCAUGUCAGUGAGGCCUUCCACAAAACAAAGGUUCAUGGGAGUACUGAUAUGAUGGGUUCUUACAUGCUUCACCCUUUGUACCAUUUUCAAAGUCCUUCAACGUCUUUUCUCCCGCAACUUUGACUUGUUGUCCUCUCGAACUUCAUCUGCAGUGUAUGUCUGAUUGUUCAAGUUCUUGUUCAUCUUCUCAUUCCCCUUUUCACUGUCCUGGCCAUCAAUCUUCUUUCCAGAGUUUCCCAUUGAACCGGAUCCUUCAGAGUUCAGACCUCCACCAGUACUGAACCAAUCAAUACAAGAGAAUAAUUAAUCGAAUGUCACUAAUCUGAUGCAAUCAAGAUGAACAAAAUAUUGAUUUAUUAUUGAGACCCUACCCUAUAGGCUUCUCUGUUGUGUCACUGCCAGCAUUACAAGCAAGUUCUUGCUCAAGUCUGGUCAAAGCAGCUGCAAUACUUCUUCACGAAAUACUGAAGCGGGGGCGAAGUGGAAGGAAAAUAUAAGGUUGGGCGAAGGAUCCCUAGCGCGGCGUCCGGUGGAUCACGAUCAGCGUCUUCAGAUCAACCUGCCAUAUUUGCAAGCAUUUUCGGAUAACCAGAUCACGGAAGAACAAAACUAUGCCACACCAAGUUUGUUGUGACUUGUGAGGACGACAAGAAGUCACGAUCACGGCGAUCGAGCAAUGCAAUUGGAUGCAGGGCGGCCAUGGCAGAGGCGGACGUGGCGGCGAAGAUCGCUGCAGGAACGGCUAGCACUUGGUCAGAACAAUGGAGGUCGAUGGUCGCGAGAGGUGGCGAGGUGGCGCUCCUUGGGCGGUCGCUCGACGUGGGCGGUGGCCUUGACCACGGCGACGUCGAGGUCCUUGCGCUCGCGGCCGCGGUGACAGAGUCCUUGAUGGCGCCGCACGCCUUGCGCCAGCCCCUGUGUACCGACGCCGUGCCCAUCAGUCGCCGUCUCCAGCGCCGGCCGGCUCGCUUCCUUCUCUCUGCUUUCGGUUCGCGCGACAAGUCGUCGCCGCCGCGUGGCCAGAUCUCCGAAUGGUGCGACGUGCGCGGCUGUUCCUGUGAUCCAUGCAAUGCGAGCGCCACCGAAUCAAUCAAAAGCAAAAACGACGGGGCCCUCGCCGGCCGCCCACCGGGCGCGGCCGAGAGGCGCAGUGUUAUCGCUGGUUGCCGCCGUUAGCAGGCCCAAAAAUGGAGUUUCUCUGCUGCUCUCAGGACAAGGAAAAAAUUUCGAUUAAAUCUCGCAAGAAAUCCGCAUUUAUCCAAUUGAUGCAGGCGACAUUCUGAAUUCUGAAUACAGGUCCCUCUCAACAGAAUAUUCAGUUCAAUGGGAUCUGAGGAGCAGGUAUACACAGUGGAUGGUAGAUGAAACGUGACAUUCUCCCCCAGUUGAGGGGAAACUAAUAUAAUAUCAAAGAAGAGCAUACCCUGAAUAGUACAUUGAUACAGCAAAAUCAUGUCCACUUCUUUUACUUGUGCCACACAAUUUGACCGUGAACUUUGUUCCAGAAUGCAAUAGGGAAUCUUUUUUCCUGGAAUACGCAGGAGAGCUGCGUAUCAUUGCAUUAAGAAAGAUGAUAAAACACUCAUAUAGCCAAACAACAGCACACACACCAACACUACAUACAUGCUCUAGGUUACAUACGCGCCCGUUAAAAUAGUUAAAAAUCGACCCCUUACCAACGGGCGCUACUAAACCCCAGGUUGAGUAGUGAACUAGCGACCAGUUCACUAAUACCUUUAGCGCCUGCCAGCCUCUAGAGAGCGGCUUCUUCUUGUGCAAGGAGAAGCACCUGCUCUAUCCUGGGUGAGGCACCAUUGAAUACAAUAUCAUUCCUCUCAGUGAAUUGAAUCCUCUCUUGAUUGUCAAGAGUGCUACCAGCUUGUUGCCACCAGUCAAAGAACCCAGUGGAAGAUGGUUGAGGUGCAAUAUCCGGGAUUCCAAAAAUGCGAAGUAGCUGAAACCAGAAUUGCUGAGAGAAGACACAAGAACAGAGAAGGUGCUGAAUGGUUUCAUCCUCCUGGUCGCAGAAGGGGCAGUGCUCAGGAUCAGGGAGACCCCUUCUAGCAAGUCUAUCAGCUGUCCAACAUCGAUUGUGUGCUACUAACCAAAGGAAGCAUUUGCACUUCCUAGGACCCCAAUUCCUCCAAAUUAGAGUGCUCGGCUCAAACUGGACUGCUCCAAGGAAAAAAGACUCGUAUGUUGUCUUAGUAGAGAAGUGUCUAGAAUUGUCAAAUUUCCUUUAAUGAACAUCCUCAACCUCUAGCAGGAGCAAUGUUUCCUGACCCAAGUCCUAAAUAUCCAGGAAUUCUGACAGGACCGCCACUGAGUAGUGCCCCUGGAUAUCCUGUACCCACUGAUUGUUCAGCCGUGCUUCCUGAACAGUACGUUUCUUAACCCGCCUCUUGGGUAUAGUUGCAAAUAAAUUGGGAGCCAAUAACUGAACAGAGGACCCUUGUAACCACCGAUCAGUCCAGAACUUGGUGUUCGCCCCAUUGCCAACUUCCGUAGUUACAGCAGCGGCAAAUAUGGCCUGUGUAUUCCCAUGAACUGUGACCAGGAAGGCUGCCCAUGGCUUAUCAGGUUCAGUUUUACUCAACCACAACCAACGGACUCUAAGUGCCCAACCAAAUCUCUGAAGGUCUAAAAUGUCCAAACCACCAAGCUCCUUUGGACGGCUCACCUUGGGCCAUGCUAAUAAAUAGUGACCUCCUUUCGCCUACUUCCAGCCUCGCUACAAGAAAUUACGAUGGAUCUUAUCCACCGCCUUUAGGCACCAUGGAGGAAGCUCCAAAGCAGUGGCGAAAUAGAUUAGAACUGAGGUGAGAACCGAGUGCACAUAUGUAGCACGACCAGCUCGAUUCAUCAACUCAGAUCUCCAUCCUGGCAAAUGAUCAACAACCUUCUCAGAGGUUGUAACUGUGCUUUAGACAGUUUCUUGAUGGAAAGAGGGAGACCAAGAUAUUUGCAGGGAAACUCCUCAACUAUCCAUGGAAAGUGAGUCUGAACCAUAGCCAAGUCUUCGAAACAUUGAAUAGGAGAGAUACUACAUUUUUGAAUAUUUGUUGAGUCUUGAAGAUGUGCCAAAUAGCUGUAACAGUGCAUCCACCAUUUGCAGAUCUGUGGCGACUGGACGAAGAAUUAGGACCACAUCAUCGGCAUACAGGGAGACACUGUAACAUCCGUAAAAUUUACUAACUCAAAUCACCCGCUAAAAAUUUGUUUCAAAAUCUUUCGACCGUUGAGCUCCCGAAAAUCUUUUCCUUCCCGGUGACCCCGUCGUCCCGGCACCCAACACCGACAGUCAUCUUUUUCCUCCCUCCGCAAAUUUUGCCGCGUGCCCGCAAAAUCCGUUGCGCGUGCCCGACAAUUCUGCAUUUUUCGCUGACUUCCCCCCCUCUUUCCUUUUUCCCCUCCCCUUUUUCCCCUUUUCUUUUUCUUCCUUCUCUUUCUUCCUUCUUCCUCCUUCCUCCUUCUCUCUUCCUUUCCUUCCUGGCGCCUGGCGCCCGACCGCCCGCACCUAAACCGGCCCGCGCCCCACGCUGCACGCCGCCGCCUGCGCCCGCUCGCCUGGCGCCGCGCUUGGCCGCUCGCAUCCCGUCGCCCACGCCAGCACCCGGCCCUGGGCCCGCGCGCUGGUCGCAGGUCGCCACCGUACACCACACCGGCCAUCGUCCAUGUGUGCCCCUAUGCUCCUCGUCGGCUGAGCCGGCCCCACCAUGCCCUCCACGCGGAGCUCCGCUCCAGCACACCACCGGCCGGGAUUCCCGGCCUCCAUUGAAGGCCCGCCAGCCAUCAAGCCCCUGCCGCCCCUUGCGCGCCGCUCGCCUCACCCCCCCUCCCGCCGGCUAUAAAAGCCGCCCGAGGCCGGCCUCCUCCCCCACCAAGAGCUCGUCGCCCCCUCCCUGCUUCCCUGUGCGUCGCCCCAACCUCCGCCCGAGCCACCUCCCUGCCCGCCGCCGGCGCUCCCUCUCCGGUCACCAUCCGCCCGAGGUGAGGCCUCAAAUGGGAUCCCCUCAUCCUCCUCUACCUCCCCCGCCACUUGGCUCACCGCCGGCGAGGCCCGGCCGGCCGACCCUCCCCCCCUCCCAGUUUCCUCUCUCCCCACCUGUUGUACCGAGCUAAGGAAGAAGAAGGGGAAAAAUCUCACGGAUAUGCCCUUCCACCUUCCAAAAAUAAUUACAAAUAGGUCCCUAGUUCUCGCAGUUUAGUCCUAAACCUUAUUUUAAGCCCCUAACACUCCGUUAACUCGUCAUUUCAUGCACCAAACUUCCUCCAAUUGAUCCCAAAUUUGAACACGGCCUCCUCCAAUAUACUUCCGCCGAGGCAUAUCCAAAUUUCAUGAAAAUACUCAUUCCUUCAAUUUUCCGUUCGCAUUCUCUGUUCGUAGCUCAACGGGUAAAAUUUUAAUUUCCUUUUAUUUAUUGUGUGCUCGAUUGUGUGUGCCGUAGAUCUCGGAGUACCCGAGGAGGAGCAUGAGGAGGAGUUUGACCACGAGCCCGAGCCCGAAAACCAGUACCGCGAGCAGGAACUCCCGGAAGGCUUUGAGAACGGCAAGUCCAAUCUCACCCUUUGAUGCAUAUUUAUCCUAAUUUUUUUUAAACACAACCUAUUGGCCUAUUUUAUAAAAUUGCAUAUUGUUUUACUGUUGAAACAUGGUUGGAUAGCCACCCCUUGAUUGUCAUGAUUAUUCCUUGAUUGUCCUAUAAUUAUCUCUAAAUAUGAUUUGCUCUAUUUGGAUGAUAAUUACUGCUAGAACGCUUAGGACCUUGUAACUCAAUUCAAUCAUGACUAUCAUGUGUUUUACUAAAGAAUAAAAGUGUGAGUGUUUUUAAAAGGGAAAAUGAGUUUCCAAAAAUAAAGGAAAGAAAUACUUAGAUGAGAUGGAUGGGUGUUUCUAGUGUGAAAUGCCAAUAAGUUGGGCUCGUACCUUUGUGGUUGAGUAUGGUUGGGAGAUAUCCAUCUUGUCAUGGUUAAGGACCGAGUUGAUGUGUCAUCUUGCCUAACCCAAUCAUCGUGCAACCACUCGACCGUUGUAUGUGGCAAUGGCUUAGCAUAAAUCCCACUAGCUCGUCUACUAGUCAUCAGGAGAGCUGGUGAGCAGCGGGAGACCAUGGAGGAGUAAGAUCUUUGUGACUUAGGUCCCGGUUAAGACCUCGUUGGUAGGUCAUUAACCCCUUGGUUGCUUCCGUGUUGGCUAGUUAGUCUUAGCUAUGGUGGGUAAUGACUUUGUUAGGAUCUGCACCGGCACUAAGGUGAUCGUGUUGCGGUACCCUACUUGAGGGAAAAGUGUACAACCUCUGCAGAGAUAAAACCUAUCCGGGUAGCCGUGUCUAUGGCAUUGGACGAGUUACAGCUUAGUCACAUAACUAGCACUUGGAGAUGGGUGAUUUUCUUGGCGUGUGUUGGAUUUCGGAAGUGUCCGGUAGUUGUGCCGUGAGCUAUUGCGGACGGGGAGUCCGAUAGCAUUAAAACUUGGAUCCUUUGUGUAGGAUCAACCCCACUUAAUGUUUCGGUUACUAAAAGAAAUGCUUUGCGAAAAUUCUUUUGAAAAUGAACCCUUGCAUGUAUUGAAAAUCUAGCUUUAUUGCAAAUAAACCUUAACCUUAUCCUUGAUAUAUUCUGUGCAUACUCUUGAUUGUAUCCCCCUCUGUGGAUGGGGUUGGACUUGCUGAGUACUUUUGUACUCACCCUUGUUUUGUUGCUUCAGAGGAGGACCCGAAAUUCGUCGCCGAGAAUUUCGAGUAGGAGGUCGCUUCCGCACCCAACGCUGCCUGUGGUGUUGGCCUUUGCAAAAUGCUUCCGCUGACGCUUAGUUUCGAUUGCAGCCCGAAGUCCGACUGGACUUCAACUUGGAUCUGUAUCGUUGUUGGUUUAGUUCUCCUUUGGGUGUGGCUCGCCCGCCCGCUCCUUCGGAAGUUGUACGGUUUUUGAACCAUCUGUUGAAUAAAUGUGUUAUCAGCCUCCUGGGACUGAUAUUUGUAUCACAUUUAGUCUCUACUUAUGUGGGGACGCUUCAAACAUGAUGAUGAAUAUUUCUAGUGGAAAUUGGCUGCAGCAGCCCUUCAGUGCUCGCCUUUUCAAUCAAGCUAUUCAGGGCAUCUAUGACAAGGAUAAAAAGCAUAGGAAAGAGUGGGUCGCCUUGCCGAAUACCACACCGGUGAUAUAAAACCUCUCCAGGGACCCCAUUGAGUAGCACCCUAGUUGAUGAUGAGCCAAGCAAGCCACUGAUCAUAUCUCGGCACUUACGUCCAAAACCCCUUCUCUGAAGAACCUCCAAAAGAAACGGCCAAGAAACCGAGUCAAAGGCUUUAGAAAUGUCCAGCUUCAAUAGAAUGCGUGGCUGUUUUUGUUGAUGUAAGAACCUAGCUGUCUGCUGGACAAGGAUGAAAUUGUCAUGAAUACAAUGCCAUUUCAUGAAAGCACUUUGAUGGGAUGACACCAGCUUAUUGAGUCUUUCUGUGCCAACAAUUUUGUGACCAACUUAGCAAAACUGUGAAUAAGACUACUUGGUCGAAAGUCCUUAACUGAUGAUGCAUCAUCUCUUUUGGGCAAGAGAGUUAGCAGUGCUGAGUUAAGAAGUUGCAUGUUUCUAAAAUUUCCACGCUGCACCGAUGAUAAAACUGCCAUUAAAUCGGAUUUGAUAACUAGCCAUCACAUCUUGUAGAAACGCCUUGUGUAUCCAUCCGAGCCUGGGCCUUAUCCGGAGGCAAAUGCUUGAUGGUAUUCCACACCUCAUCCUUAGUAAAAGGCAGUUCCAGGUAGGCCAGAUCAAUUUGUCUUAAAUUCAGCUUAUCCAGGUUGAUGGUUAUAUCACGCUAGCCACUUGUACCCAACAACUGAUCAUAGAAAUCAAAAAUUGCUGCAGCCUUAUCCUCAUGGCUAGUCAGCACCUGAUCGUCUGUUAUUAUUUGUGAAAUGAAAUUUUUUUGCUUCCUAUGGCGAACAUGAGCAUGGAACAAUGUUGUAUUAGCAUCCCCAUCUUUCAACCAGUUAAUCUUUGACCUGACCCGAGCAGUUGUUCUCUGCAUAGAACUCAAAGCUAGGGAAUGUUUUUUUAAAGAGUGCAGCAACCAAAGCUCUCCUUCAGAUAGCUGUCGGCUAUCCUGAGAAAUUUUCAAGUUGAUGGAUAAUUUCUCUGGCAAUACCAAGUUGAGCACCAAUGUUUCCAAUGCAUUUCUGACUCCAGCUUUGUAAAGCAUGGGCGAGCAAUUUAAACUUAAGUGACAGUGUCUCCAGAGGACAAGCCCUUGCUUCUACAGAACCCCAGGCCUGAGCGACCACUUCCUGGAAUCCCCCCAGUUUAGGCUAGAAUGAUGCAAAGUGGAAUCUGCCCUUCCCAGCAUGUCAUUAAACCCUAUAAUUAGGGGCCAAUGAUCCAAGUCCAAGAAGGCUGCACUUUGCAAUAGACAACUUGGAAAUACAUUUUCCCAUUCCAUGGUAGAGAAAACUCGGUUCAGCCUGCUGAGAGUGGGCGAAUCGCCACCACCACUCCAUGUGAAUUUGCAACUAACAAGGGGAAGUUCCUUGAGAGCCAAAUCAUCCAAGGCUCGAUGGAAACGACCCAUCAUAGCACGGUUGAGGUUUGCAUUAUUCUUAUCUUCCUUCCUAUAGAUGAGGUUGAAAUCCUCGGCUACCAUCCAUGAGCCAUGACAGUGAGUGCGGAUCAAGCGGAGUUCUUGCAAGAAAUUGAUCUUCUCCUCAUUCCCCAGCAGCCCGUACACACAGGUGAGCCACCAUGGUUCGCUGUCAGCAGGAAGAAAUUGGAUAGAAGCAUAGUGAGUGUCCACCCAAAAGUUCCCAGGAGGGCCAAGAGCUUCCUUCCAUCCGACAAGUAUCCUUCCACUAGCACCACCGAUGGCACAAACACAAAGUGAUAGAAAUCCGGAUCUAGAGUAGACAGAACAAACCACUGAGAAAUACCUUCCAUCUUAGUUCUUGAAGGCAAACUAUGUCAGCUCUAAUGGAAUGGACCAACAUUCGAAUAGAGUCUUGACGAGCUGAGGAAUUCAGACCCCGCACGUUCCAAACAAGAAUCUUUGAAGGAUCCAUAUAAUCGAUGAGAGAUAAGACGACCACGAUGCUGCUCAGGAGGUAGUUACCAGCACUCCAGGACACUUGUAUCCCUCGGGAGGUGACCAGCCAAAGAGCGCAGCGAGGGCCUAAACGUGAGAAGCCGAGAGGGGGCCGCUAAAAAGUUUGGCGUAGUCGUCCAUUAUCUUCUGAUUGACAUGCUCUCGUUCCAACUCAAUGCCAUGGGAGCGCAUGACAGUCUUGCAAGAGCCGACAUUCGGAAUACUAGGGAGCUCAGCUUCCAACCCAGCUGUCCUCCUGCUUCUACAAGGAACAAAGGUGGGGGGGAGGAGCCCUCGAACAUCUCUUCAGCACUGCGGGCGGCUGGGGAAUUAGGCCCUCUGUGUUCUUGGAGAGCUUGUCAAUAAAAGCUUUCUGUGCCGUGGUCGUCGAGGAGUCAGGGCACGGCCGCCGAUGGGAGUAGACGCCGAUCUCGGGUAAUGACGGGUUCACGUCACCCGGUGGCCGCGGAACGGCAGCUAGCCCUACGGGGAUGCCCAGCGAACUCUGUGCUUCCUCCAUGUUGGAGCCUAGAGCGCAUGACUUGCCAGGCACAACUGUUGGGCUCGUUGUAGCUUCAUAGGAUAGGGCCUUCUCUGGGGAGGUGCACAAACCAGUUGCUGAGCCUGGGAGUUGUGCUUCUGGAAACUUGACAGACUCCAGCAAUAGGCUUACCCUGGCUGCACAAAAUUGGGCCUCCUGUUCUUCGACCAUGGCGUCACAGGUUCGGGCCUGCAGUCCAUCAGCCUCGGGUGGGACCAGCCUGUCCUCCAGGUUUACAUCCGCAGCCGCCAUAUUGACUUCAGGGGGCGAGUCACAAGGCGGAUUUUCCAUCGAUCGCUCCUCGAGGCGCAUGAAAUCCUCGGGCUGCCCCUUGGCCUCGGUCACCGUAGCUGCCAGCAUAGGAGGGGAGGAGGCCCAUCCAUCAUCCCUACCGCCGCAGGAAGAGAAGUGGUCCUCCUCGGAACCCGCCGUGGCCACCAGCGCAGGAGGCGAGGAGGCUUCCAGGUUUACACCCGCAGCCACCAUAAUGACACCAGAAAGCGAGUCCCGACACGGAUUUUCUAUCGACCGCCCUUUGGGGCGCACGGAGACCUCGGACGUCGCAACCGCUAGCACAAGAGGUGAGGAGGUCCAUCCGUCGUCCCGUCUGCCGCAGGGAAAGGAGCGGUCCUCCUCGAAACCCGCCAUGGCCGCCAGCGCGGGAGGCGAGGUGGCCCAUCCGACAUCACUGCCAUCGCAGGGAGAUAGGCGGUCCUCCUCGGGACCUGACGUGGCCGCCGGCAUGGGAGACAAGCAGGCCGACGUGCCAUCAAUGCCGCCGCCAGAAUUUGAGACAUUUCGUGAGGGAACGGAUGGACCCAGCCUAGCACACACCAGAAUUUGAGAAGGGUGGUCCACCGGAGGCUGUUGUUCUGCCGCGACGAUCAAGACGUCAAUUGGGUAGACGAGAGAGCGCUUCGCCGGGAGCUCGUCGCCGGCAACUAGCAGCUCCACAAUCUCUAAAUCUAGCCUAGAAGGGACAUGCUCCAACGAAGAACACCAAGCAGCUAGCCGGAAUACAUCCCGUCGGUCCUAAGUGUCCGGAUGAAGUCCAUUGAUCCAACAAAAGCCAUUAAGGAGCUGGCGCGCCGUCUCUAGCUCCUAAGCAUGGGCCAGGCUUCCACGAAUCUCCAGCUCAACGGCGACAGGGAGGGUUGUCGUGCUGGAGUUGAUGAACCUUGACCAACGCAUGACGUGCAGGCGGUGGGAGGCGGAGAUGAUCGGCCGCCCUCUGCCGUAGAACCUUGUCACCGACUCAGCAUCUGGUAGGGUGAGCAGGAAACUCACUGUGCCAAAACGAUGAAUGACGAUCUAUGCCUCAUCAAACCCAAACUGUUGCAAGACUGUAGCAAGAAUGGAGCUCACCGAGCUAUCCAGAUAGUUGCCAAACACUGAGAUGACCAAGGCCCAUCCAAGGUCAGAUUCCCUCUGUGAUAUGGUGGCUGAACGAUCGAUGAUCUUCCUAGGCCUUGCCCCAGUGGUCCGACGAUCAUCAUCGCUUGAAGAGAAGGAAUUCUCCCCUGCUUCCUCACCACACCUGUCGCUGCUGUCGACCGGCAGGGCCUGGCCACCACCAGCCGCCCUGCGGUGCCCCCUACUCCGGGCACGCCGUCAACGACCAGAAGUUUCGACCCUUUGUGAAGCUUGUGCAUCCAUGGUGGCCAGGGGGGUGUAGCAGCUGGGGAAGCUUGCACCUACCGCCAAACCAAAUGCCUGCUAGGAGGAGGCGCUUCUGAACACAACCUCGAAAAUUGACGCGGACAGCCGUAGGAGUGAUGCUCGACACUGCAGCAGGAGAAGCAACGAGGUCCUAAGCGGCACUCCACCGCGCAGUGGUUAGGAGAGAGGCAGUUCAAGCACCUACCCCGGAGGUCACUAGGGAUCGGUUGACAGGGCGAGCGUGCCUGAUGAAGACGAUUCUUGCGAGAACAACGACCCUUUGUCGUCCACCAACCGUCGGCGUCGAGGCGCCACGCCUGAAAAGGGAGGCCAACAAACUGGAGGACGACCCGAGGAGCACGGGGAACAGCCUACGAGGCAGUGACCGAGACUCCCUGGAAACAGCGACACCAAGGGUCUGCGAGGACACUGCCGAGGCUGUUCCUCGAAGAACCUCCUUGAAAGAAGGGGAGGCCCCGUUGGAGUCACUCGAGGAAGGUGAAGCAUCCAGCCAUCGUUGGGCCUUGGAGUGACCUGUACGGGUAGGAUUUCCUGACACCAAAGGAGAGGGAGAGGCUAGGCUAAGGAUUGCCGAUGCUGUGAGGGUGGCCACCGUGCCCGGAGUAGGCAGCGGCGGGCGGCUGGUGGUGGGAGGGGAGGGAACCAUCCGACUAGCUCAUGGAAUUUCCCUCCCAGAUAGGGAAAUUACACGAAAAGAAUACAAAAAAACAAGUGCAUUCUAAAGAAAACAAAAAUUCUGGGAUGGCCUAUUGAGGUACAAGUUGAUCUGGUAUUGUUAUGUUUUGUAGCUCCAGCCUGCAGUUAACAACACACCGUAAAUGCCACCAUAAAUCUGACUUCAAUCUCUCUUUUAUUUCAUUUCAGCAAAGGGGUUGGAAUUGCAAUGCCUUCGUAUCCAUCCCCAAUCGACCAGUUCCAUUACCAUUGUCCAUUAGCAUGCACACCAACUGCUGAGAUCAAUUUGUUAGAAUGGGCCUUUGGUUAACUAAUGAAGCCUGAACAUUUGUAUUUGCUAUCUGAUCUAACUUGUCGUUGCCUGCAUCGAUUCUGAUCGAUCUGAACUGUAAACUGUUUGACUGCAACCUUCAACCACCUUUGUAGGUGCUCUUGCUUUAAGCAUCAUUUCAUCGUAUUCUGCUUCUGGGUCUGACAUUGCUACAAUCGCCCCACCUGCCCCUACUGUAGCUUCUCCAUUGUGCAGGAUGACUGUCCGGAUCACAAUAUUCAGAUCGAACGUGUGGUUAUACGAAAAGAACCCAAUGGAUCCUGAGUAGAUACCUCUCGGACUAGAUUCAAGUGAAUCGAGAAUCUCCAUUGAUCUAACUUUUGGGGCCCCAGUCAUUGAACCACCUGGAAAGGCUGCUUUGACACAGUCGACAGGGCUCAGAUUCGACUUCUUUGUUCCACGGACGGUACUCACCAUGGUGUGAACAGCUUUAUAUGACUCUACAUCCAUGAGAUGAGGAACAUGAACGCUCCCAGGUUCACAAACCUUACCCAGAUCGUUUCUUAGGAGGUCAACAAUCAUCAAGUUCUCAGCCUGAUCUUUUUCACUGUUGAAGUUGAGCACAUGCAAAAGCAAAAAAACUACCAGCAUGAGUACUAUGACUUAAAUCGAACCAUAUGGCAUCGACUGUUAACAAUAAUACUGCACCGCCAAGAAAGGGAAACAUAAAUGGAAUUUCGACUAUAGAAACCUCCAAUGAAACAAUAAGAAAGAGACAAUCCUUAUGCUUACUGUAAAUCUUAUACAACCAUGUCAUUUUCUAUGAUAGAUCUUUGAUGCUGAACACUAAAUGAGUUUGAGCAGACAGUAACAGACUAUUGAACCAAGCUUUAUAUCAACAAAGAUUGCAGUUAUGUACACCAAACCUUUUUAGGAAGACCAUUUAAAACACACUCAAUUCAAAAGACUAAGAGUAGCAAAUAAAUAAAUCAUGAAAAGCAAAGAACCCCAAGAUCAACAUUUUGUGAAAGAUUUGAGCUAAGAUAUCUUAACAACAGAAAAGAAUAUAUUUACACUUGCCUGUAUUGCAACUGCAAACGCAGGCAUUCAUCUUCCUCUGGUGUUCUGCCACGUGCUAUAGUGCCUUUGAUUGGUUUUGCUUCUAGAGUUUUGCUUCGAUCUAGUCGUAGAAACCUUUCAGGAGAAGAGCAACAUAUGCUCAAGUUUUCUGAGGAGAAGUUAAGCCAGGCUGCAUAAGGGGCUGGAUUUUGUUUUCUCAAUUUAAGGUAGAGCUGGAGCGCAUUUAUAUAGUCUACUCUUCUCUUCAUCUGAGUAGUGAAGCAUAACUCAUAGCUUUCUCCAUCUCUGAUAUAAUCCAGGCAACUCUGAACAUCUCUAAUAUAUUGAUCCUUGGACUUCUCUACAACAAAACUUUGCUUAUUCACAUUAGAUGAUAUAGCAUAUGCCUUCCCAUUAAUCAGCAAUCCUGGAGGCAUAGCGCCCAGUCUAAGAAGCUUCUUCUCAGUCUCCACUAACCAUGAAUUAUGUGUUGAAUUUCUGCAUGUCCCAUCUCCAUUACUUGAAGAAAAUUCAUCAUGCAAUGAUAAAAUGUACACAUCACCGUUACUGUGAUCAACCACCACGGUGUUAUCAGCAAAGAAGAAGCAUGCAUCAGGAGUACUUGAUUUGGCCUUGUUAGAUGAUGCACCACACUCAACUUUAAGACCAUACCUGGUAUCAGAUGAAAACUAAAGAGAUUCAAAGGGAGCUUAAAGGAUUCCAAAAACACAUAUAGACUCCAGAAACAUGGAUGAUACAAAGGGAGUUAAUUAAAGUACAAAACGCCCCAGAUGAAUCCAUGGUCCAUGCAAGACAAUCAAGGGAAUGAGGAGGACAAGAUUGAGAAAAAUGUUUGUAGCAUGGUUUAAAUAAAAAAAUGUCUGUAGCAGGAAACUAGUCCAACUGCAGGCAAAAAUUGAUAUAUUUGUAUAUAUAUGAUAUCUAAUAUGAAACUACAAGUGUAUAUUUCAAGUAAAAGAAAAGCAUCAGUCAUGAUAACAAAUCAGUGUACCCUAGAUAUCCAACAAAGCCACCAUGGAAGUCAAAGGGCAGUCCUUCGUAAUCCUUUUCGUUGUAUUCAAUGGACUGCAUUUCCUGCAAAUUACGAAACAGUGAUAAUCAAAACUCAGACAAAUGCAUGCAACAAUGUACCCAAGGUUGGGGCCGGUCAUGUGUGCAGAAUACAGAUACUAUGUUAGUCGUGUAAUGCGGCAUAAUGAGUAACCUCAGAUCCAACAUAUAUAUUGUUUUCUCAUGGUUUGCUGCCAAUUGAGUACAUAAACUAGUAACACACUUAGUUUGUUCCUCUGUGAUGCGGGAACUGUGAAAGUUCAUAUAGCGGUAAAGUGAUCUAUGCUAAGUUUGUACACCACAUUCAUUUAUUUGUAACAAAACAAUUGGACUCCUAUGUUGACAAAAAAAAAGUUGGGUUCAUUGUACCUUAAUAAAUAUAUGCAAUUAUUUGUGCUUGAGAAAAAUUUUCGGAAAACAAAACUUGGAUAGUGGCAACUGGCAACCGUAAAAUUAAUGACAAUAAUUAGAAUAAGCAUCAGCAAUCUUUCAACAUAUACCUUGUUAAGGAACUCCAAAAAACCUUCUUUGAUAAAGUUGUUGGCAGUAGAUCCACAAGCAUCUCGGAUAAUAAGGGUUCCUCCACAAUUGGCUCUGGAACAGAAUUUGUGAAAUAAAAAGGUCUAUUCACAUGCUGGCAUGGAUAAUGCAUUAAAGUAUGUUUCUUCUGCUUUGUGAAAGCAACUUCUCACCUUUGACCAGAUAGGUGGAAUGUCAUUUGCUUCCAUAGGGAUCCACCUUUACCACCCAUGAAUGAAAAGCGUGCCCUAUUCUGCAAGAAGAAGAUCACAACAAAGACAAAGGACCAAAUAAGUUUCCAACAAAUUAAAGAUCUAUCGCUCAACUAGACAUUGACUGCAGCUCAUCAGCUUUUUUUUUGUCUUACUGAUUUAUUUUAUUAAUUUACCGGCUAGAACGAAACACAACCUAGUUUGUUAAGAUUCUUGCUUUCAAAGACUUAAUCGUGGCAUCAAAUCAUAGCCCUGUCAAGCUUCAUUUCACAUCUGAUGAAAUCUAUAGAAUAAAACUAAAUUGGUGACUGGUUAAGAAUAAGCUGACUGCGUACCUGAUCAACUGAUGAGCUAUCCAGCCAAAAUGUGUCUUCACCGCUUUGAUGGCCAAAAAGAGCGGUAAAUAUGUCUUCUGAUCCAACUGAGGAACAAAGGAACCUAUCGAUUUUCUUCCAUCGCAACCGUAAACACUUUUUCCCAAUGGCUCUCUGUGCAAGCAUGCAAGCCCCGUUAGGCUCCUGGAGUUCCAGUCUUUCAGUAUGCAACAAAUCAUGGGAGACAGAACCACAUUGGCCAGCAGAAUUCACCUGCGGAACAACAGAAAUGUCUACUAAAAUGAUGCAUAAAGGGGAUUUGUAUCAAACAACUUCACCACAGAUAGUACUUGAGAUUUUUCCAGUUUACCAAUACUGUGAACCUUUGUUUCCUGAAGCCAUGAUGAGUGCAAUCCAAAAUCUCUUGUCAUCUUCUUGAAGUUUUGAAAAAUCUGUCUUCCAUAAUGAGUAGCAACGCUCUCUGGAUGAAACUGAAUAAAAGACAAUCAUGUGUAAGAACAGUUGGCUAGGACUUGGAGAAAUCAUUGCACAGGAGAAACUAGAAUACCUGCACUCCAUAAUGAGGCCUGCUAGAGUGUCUGAUGGCCAUUAUAACCCUGGAACCAUCUGACUCACUAGCAUUGUCAUUGCUUAUGUUGGAUAGUUCCCCACAACUGAUACUGUGUUCUAGAGGGAUUGCCAUAAAGUUGUUGUCCAACGAUCCCAGGAAGGGACUAACAUCAGUUCGAUCACUUUCAAGGUAAGAGAGCAAAUUUGGAGAGGCAGUCCAUGCUAUUGGCAUAAGAUCAUCAGGUAGAGAACCUGCUUCUAUUACAAGUGAAUGAUACCUCACUACCUGAAAAUAGAACCAGUAACUAAGUACAUGAUCCUUCACAUUGCAUACAGCAAGAAAAGUCUGAACUAUGAACCUAAAUGACAUGGCAUGGGGUUAUUAGCACAGGGGGUACUAACCUUGAAUCCGGAGUUUCUACCAGAUGGAACGCAUUUAAAGAGGUAGCACCCGUCAUGCUCAAUUUCACUGUGGGAAGUCAAAAUCAUGUGUCAGAGGUAGGAACAGCUAGAAUUGAGCAGAGAACCACCACUCCUUGUAGGUUUAUUUUUCAUGUAACAGAGUUCAAGGCCUUGCCUGAGUCUCCCAUGUAUAGCCUCCGGAGCAUGAACAAUCUUAGCACCAUGUAUGAAUCCCAGGGCCUGCAAUGAUCAAACACAACAACAGACAUUUCAGGUAAAGUUAACACAGCAUGAUCCUAGCAUAAUUUCUUUGUCAAGACUGAUAAAAAUAAGUUCACAUGGGGAACACUACAAUGGAAAGACGGGUAUCACCUGGUGGCCAAGGCAGACACCCAGGAUGGGUAUGUCUCCACACUCCAAAAGUAUCCGCAGACAUACACCUUAAAAAAAAUAAAACAUGCACCAGAUUAGUAAGUUGCACUUGGUAAUGAAUAAACAGCCUCUUUCGCGCAUCCCGGCUUAACUGAAGGUGAAGUAAGCUCACCAAUGUCACCGGGGCACGCCGGAGAUCCAGGGCCAGGCGAGAUGACGAUGUUGUCGAAGGCCCUGUCCUUGUACACCCGGUUGAAGACGUCCUUCCACGUCCACUCGUCGUUGCGCACGACCACCGGCGGCACUGCGUUAAGAGGAUCAUGGUCAUAGGCUUCCGUCAGUUCCACCGCCCGCCCGUGAAGGCGCAAUGAGCACGCCGACGCAGCAACAGGCGCAGAGACGGAGGGAACUUCCGUUCAACUCACCGCCGUUGACGACCGACAGCUCCUGGAAGAUGUUGUAGGUGUAGCUGUCGUAGUUGUCGAUCAGCAGCGUCCUCACCGGCGGUUCCGGCGUCUCCGGCGUCUCCUCUCCCUUCGCCCGCAGCGCCACGAGGCGGCGAGGGGGACGGACCCGCCGCGCCACGGCGGUAGCGGCGGCGGCGGCGGGGGCAGACACUUGGGAAGGAAGCGGGGCCCACCUUGCCGCCGGCGGGGCGGGGAGGCGGAGGGCGGCCAUCGUGGCGGCGCGCGCGGAGGAUCCGGAAGGGAAAAGAAAAGAAAAAGGCGCCUCUUUUUUAGGGGUCGUGGUUCGUCUGGAGUAUUGGCAGCGCGCUCCGUUUAUAUUACUAGAGGGCUUUUCUGCCGACCUAUCUCAUCGUCUCGACGGGUGUGCCGUGCCGUGCCCCAGUGCCGUCGCCGUCGCCACCAACUGCCAACGCCGGCGAGGCGGCGGCCGUACCGCAACCAAGAGACGAUGAGCCGAUGACGAUGACGAUGACGACGGCCACUGCCCACUACUCCUAAGUCCUAAUUCCGCGUAGAAAAUGUAGCAUGGGUCACUCUGGUAACUGAUGAUAUCGUGCAUCGGUGCAGUGCAGAUGGGAUGAGUAGUAGCGAUGUGAAACGAUACUACUAGUAGACAGAUUUAUUUAAAUUGCGUAUAAAAAAGAUUUACUAGUAAUACCGGCUCGACAAUAUUAUUUUACAAACUUUGUAACAUAAAAAAACUAAGUUAAGGUUAACUUUAACGACAUCAAAUAUACUCCUGUUCAUUUUUAAAAAAAAAGAUAAAAUCUAAUAUUUUGUUAACUGUUACAUAACCAUAAUCGUAGGUCUUCCUGAAAAUAAUCAUAAUCGUUAGAAAAGCUUUCAAUACGAAUCUAUAAAUUCUAUGGCACAUAAUUCAUUUACUUUUAUACUAAAUGUCGGUCAAAGCAUAUGAUUCUGAACGGUAAAAUUACGCGCCCCACUAAAAACCUUCUGCGAUGACAGAUGUCAGAAUAAUUUUGGUUCGGUUAAGAACAUGUUGAAAUACUUGUUGCUCUUUAUAGUUCCAUGAGAUUUACUCAAGUGCACUUGAACGGCUGUGUGCUGUCAACAACAUUGAGCGAAUGGGGCCAUGGGGGAUUUGGUGAUCCAACCUGCUAAUAGCUUGUGCAUGCAGCAACUGCAACAGGCCUUGUUUGUUGCCAUCUGCUUUCAGCACACCAACCCCCUCCACAAACUGGAUUCCUAGUAAACCAACAAAACACUUCCACUUCCUUGAUGAAUGGUUUGAUUCUGUAGUGACAUCAGCGUCUAUUCUAUUGCUGUCACGGCGGCCUGAUCAGGAAUUUUCCCAGACAACUUUUUCAUCUCCUUAUUACUCUCUUCAUAAUUCACAUGACGAAACCGGCACAUGCACAGGUGCAGAAUCAGAUCAUCACAUAUUUCAGCAGACAGACAGCUCUGAAAAAUUUCUGGGGAAAUUUUGCCACGGGCACUCAGGCCUUGUUUAGCCCUUGUUUACUCCCCCAACUCCCAACUUUGACACUAUGCAAAAAGAAAAUUCUCCAUCACAUCAAACUUGCGGUACAUGCAUGGAGUACUAAAUGUAGAUGAAAUUAAAAACUAAUUGCACAAUUUUGUUGUACUUUGCGAGACGAAUCUUUUGAGCCUAAUUGAUCAAUGUUUGGAUAAUAAUUCACAAAUACAAACGAAACGCUACAGUGUGCUACAGUGUCGGAACAGUAAUUUUGACACUCCCAAUUUUGGCAACUAAACAAUUAGUUUCCCCAAAACCCCAACUUUAACACUAUGCAAAAAGAAGAUUUCCCGUCACAUCAAACUUGUGGUACAUGCAUGGAGUAUUAAAUGUAGACGAAAUCAAAAACUAAUUGCAGUUUUGUUGUACUUUGCGAGACGAAUUUUUUGAGCCUAAUUAGUCAAUAUUUGGACAAUAAUUCACAAAUACAAAUGAAACGCUACAAUGCUGGCACAGUGAUUUUGGUUGUCCGGGCAACUAAACAGGCCCUCAAAACGCGUCACCUUAGCGCUCAAGCUCUUUUGCUGAAAGAACCGGACAAAACCGAUCCUUGUUAGACACUGCAACUUUGUGUAUAUUUGCUGAACAAUGAAUCGUGUCUAGCAACAAAUAUACACGAGAUUAUAGUGUUCAUCAGCAAAGAUCACUUUUUCGAUGCCUUUUGAGUGUCAUGUGGCAAAAUUUCCAAGAACAGGAAACAGCAGGAAUUGCAGAAGCGCACCAACAACACGGUUCCAUUAGCUGGUAGGGAUAUUACUCCAUGCCCUUUUUUACAACAGCAUCUGAAGCUGGAGAAGUUGCUAGCAAAACCACCAUUUGAUCGCCCCUGGAAACAAGCCACUCUACAGGCAUCUCUACAAUCUGCAGCGCUACAACACUGCAGAAAUGAAAUUGGAGAAGUUUUUGUGCUUCUCUCGGGGGGUGAGAGGGAAACCCCGGAGAUGCCCCUAGGGGCGGGAUUUUGUCUUCUUUAGCUCUCCUUUUCUGAUGCUUGCUGCUGCUGAUGCUGUAACUGGAGAAAAUGCGCCUUGCUGACAAACCUUCCCUGCCAAACCAAAACACGAAAACCUUCAUAAACUGCCCAAAAUGUGAUACAUUUGGUGGUUUUGCCAGAGAAAACCGUCAUCGUCUCAGGAGUCAGGUUUUUGUUGCUUACAUUGACCCGAGGCCGGUAGUACCGGCUAUUCUUAUUUGAGGGGAGGGGAGUGCACAUCUUCUGCUUGCGCUGCAUCUUUAGAAUGUUGCCUUCCCUGAUAACAGCACUGGUACCAUUCUUUGGGAACAUAUCACUGCCUUCAUGUUUAACCUGCGAUGGAAAUUACACACUUGUCAGUAAGAAGAAUGUUCUUCAGGUAGAAGCGACCAUAAGAGAUGAAUGGAAUGUUUGUAUUGUAAUGUAACUGGCCUUCAGCUGUUCAGCAUGUUGAUGUAACACACAUCAUCAAUAAUAACAAUUUUCCUUUUACAUGGAACAAUACUGGGUUCGUAUACUAUUUGCAACAGCAAGUUGGGAUAGGGUAGAGUCAUAUUCAUAUACCAUCUGGCAGUACAAUUGGACACUUUAUCAAUAACCUAAGACAUUUGAUGCUCCUAGAAACUAGAAAGAGACUCAUGAAUCUGAAUUCGUGUUUUCUUAAAAGCACAACUGCUCCAAUAUUUUUGCCAUUUUAAUAGGGUCAUUCACUCAUUUGAGAAAGAUCAAGUUGGUUAGAGUUUGUUGCACUAGCUCUUUCUAUGAUCCGAAAACAAUUGGAGCUCAACCACUCUUCGAUGACGAAACAGGGCAUGCAUACAUGCCUUAAGGUACCUACUUGUACAUUGUGCAAAAGUAGGUCUAGCCAUCUAUGGCUCAUUAAAAUGGUAGGAAUAAACAGCAACUGCUAGGAAAGCUCAGUCACUCACAUGAGAGUUUUCUUAAAUUAGGAACAUCUCCAGAAAUGAAACAUAAAUGUCUGAAAGUUAGUUGUUGGAUGAGCAAUUUUCUGGGUAGGGAUUAUAAGGAGCCUUUAUUAGGUUUCGAUGCUAAGGAAAAGAUGCUUCCUUUUUUCGCUCCGGCUUUUCUUUUUCCUCGUUGGUUUAAUCAUCCUUCAUUCAGUUUUCUGUCUCUGAACGCCAACUUAAGAAUCCAGAAAUACGGAAAUAGAGCAAUUACUUCAGAAUUCCAUACUAAUGGGUGAAUGUACUAUAUGAGGACUCAAAUGAAGCAGUGGAGCAGUGAACAACAUUUAUUUCAAUAGUUCUAUUUGAAAUUUCCACAAUGAAUAUUCUUCUGCUCCUUCCAUAAAAUUAGAAACUGCAAAUAAGAGCUAAAUGUGGUAUGAAGAGUCAACUGGAAGAAAAGGUCCAUUUGGAAUUUCUUCUCCUGUUGCAUUCACCUGGUAUGAUCAAGUAUUGAGGGAGGCUAAAUCCUGGUGUUUUGUAAUGGCCAUAUUUACAUAUUUCACGGACAGAAAAAUUUUCUUGUAAGAGACUCUCUACUGACUAGAAAUGUAGAUGGACUCAGGUCAGGAUUUUCAAUCAUUGAUGGUAUGAAAACCGCAGAUGAUCUAAUCUUCUACUGAUACGAAACAAAUUCUCUUUAUCAGAUGAUAUGGAUAACAAACAUAAUGCAGGUUUCAAACAACUCCAGCCAUUUUUGUCUUGAACUGUAAUAAAGAUCAUUUUAUCUAAAGAAGCUAGGAAUACUUACCACCACAUGAGCAGAAGACAAUGGUAGGUCAGAUGCAUUGCGGUCAGCGAACACUGAGCCUCUGCCGCACCAUGCCUUGAGCACCCGCUCAGUGUUCAACCUCAGCCCCAAUCCUGUCUUUGGCAAUGCCAAAACUCCAGUACCACCAUUGGCAAAGUCAGGAGUCCAUUCCUCUUCUUUCUUGCAAUGCUCAGUGGCCACAUCCUUAUAUAAGGAAUCCAAUAACUUCUUCUUACUCUUCUUCUUCUCCAAAACUGUUGGUUUUGCCACCAAUGGUGGUGGUGGUGGCGGCGGGGCAAUGUCUUUCACUGGUAUGGCCGGGCACAUCCACCAUUCAGGAUUGACAUUAUGCCGCUUUAGCGCUUGGUUGAUGCUGCGCUGAUCAUGCCUGAAGCUGAGCCCCAGCAACAUGAGGUUCCUGAGGUAUGGGUGUAUCUUGGAACUGGGCAUGUUGGAGUUGGUGCUGGAAGCUGCUGCUGCAUUGUUUUCCAUGGAUAGCUUGCCCAUGAUGCCGUCAAUGCCCUCCGCCGCGCUCUCAUCAACGCCACACAGAAUGGAAUCAGCGUCGAAGCUGUCAUCGUCGUCGAAGUCGAGCUCCCCGGGCUCGUCCGCCGCCGCGGCGUCGGGGGUCGCGGGGGACGGCGCCGGGUCGCGAAACUCGCUGAAGACGCUGCUCACGCCGGCCGGCGACGGGCAGCUCUUGGCGGGGACGGGGCUCAUCGGCAUCGGCAUCGGCGGUGUCUGCGGCGGCGGCAGGUCGCGGAGGAGGAACGCGGCCUGGUCGAGGACGGGGAACGGCGGGAGGAGGUCGGAGCAGCCGGGGUCGUCGGCGAGGGCGGAGGCGAGGCCGAGGAGGCGGGGCGGCGCCGCCUCGGGCCCCAUGGCGGCGGGGAAGACGGAGGGAUACAUGGAGGCGAGCAGCGCCGCCGCCUCGUUGUACGUCUGGUUGGGGCGCUUCCGCGGCGUGCGCGGGCGCUUGAGCGACAGCGAGGCGACCGACGACGUCGCCGAGGAGGAGGACGCGUUGGACGCCUCCGAGAGCGUGGAGGACGCCGCCGCGGAGUGCGCCGGGCGCGGCGCCGCCGCCGCCGCGCCCGCCGCCUUGACCAUCUCCAGGUCCAGCCGGAGGCCGGCCGGGAUGCAGGACGACGCCAUGGAUCGAUUCGAUCCAACAAACCGAAAAAACUUCACCCAAAAAUCGCAACUUUUCUCCCAGAAAACCGAAUCAGAGGCACCAGCUCGGGGGAACGAAUCGGGAAGGAAACCCAAUCAGAGAUGACGAAUGGAAGGUGGGGGAAAUCACAAAUCAGGGGCGAGCCGCGAGCGAGAGCCGAGAGAGAUGCCGUGGCGUCCGUCCUAAACCCAACCGGAGAGCCACGCAAAACCCCCCAGGCUCCCACCAGAAAAAAACCAGCGGAAAAGGGAGGAAAGGAAGGGGCCGAAACGCCAAAGGGUGCCGCCGCGUGGAACCCGAGGAAUUUCUUGUUCACAACGCCACCGCCAGCACCAGCAGCGCCUGCCGCUGCCGCCACAUCGGCCCGGCUGCUCGGUUCAGGAGCUCGGCGCCGCCUCGGAGACGGAGCCAAUGGUCGCCGACAAAUAAAAAUGCAAAAAUCUCGGGAAAAGGCGAUCACCGAGCGAAAAAGAAAAAGGGGAGGAAAUGAUUAAGGAUUCCGAGAAGAAACAGCGGGUUGUUUGUUGCUAAUCAAAGUGGCAUCAUCUCAGUGCAUCCCCACUCCCCACCACCAGCGCACCAACCUCGAAGAACGGGCGAACUCGGAAAGUAAUCGAGCUGCCCACGCUUGGGUUCAGGUGGUGCUCGUGGUGUGGCGAUUUGGGCAAGAAAUGAAGAACAGAACAGGGAGGGACAGCUGAGGCGUUGUUGGAGUUGAUUAGCUGGGCUGGAACUGGACCCGAAUUGGGGCGGAGGAAACAGAGCUGGUAAAAGGCAUGGGCAAACGGAAUUCGGCGGCCGGCCGGCAGCGGCGAGACGUUUCUGCUUGGAUUCGUCGAUGAAAACGAGAACGGAAAAAAAGAUUUGUUGGUGAAUUACUGCUACUAUUACGAGGAACAGGAAGGGUUUUAGCGAAUGGAAGGGGAAGAAAAAGAAAAGGAGGCUUCAUCAGAGGUGGAGUGGAGUGGGGGGAGUCCGCGGAAGAGACGAACCUCGCUGUCAACCUGUCACUGUCGCUCUUCCCGUGGGCCCCGCACGCAGCGCCCAUUGCUUCCCGGCUUCCCCCUCUCUUCCAGCACCACCAGACCUACCAGAAGGGAGUCGUCGUGCGUGUCUUGACGCGAGGGCGCCUUGUCACGUUGCGGACUUGAGCUCCUCGCCCAGGUACACGUGUGAGGAGCCCCCACAGGGCACAGCCGUGUGACCUACCGCUCCAGGUCACGUGUGACCCGGGGUCCGGGGAGGAGCAACUGCAACACUUUGUUCUGACAGUGCGGGCCUCCACUAGGAUCACGGGCUCCCAGCUGCUGUGCAUUGCGUUACAGUAUCACGGGCAGGAACCGUGCAUCUGCAUGCAAGAACGCAGCAAGACUGGAUGGAAAACGGAGCUUGUCUACCAGAUCCGGUUUUUACAUGUUUUGCUUAAACCAAGAUAAUGUAAUCUGAAAAUCAUUCGCAAACGGAGAAAAGAAAGCAAGAAUUUGAAGCCACCAGUUUUGGAUUUACCGGUGAAAUCAUGUUUAGGACAAGUCUUUCGAAACUGCCUCUAAAGUUCAGUGUGCUGCUGAGGUCGCUAGACGGACAGUCGGGCACUCCCCGGGGAAGUGGAGCAGGACGCCGGCCUGCCGUGAUGGCGAUUUCGGGGCUCAAGCAAACAUGCCCGCUUUAUUAGAGCUUAGAAGUAACCGGAAGACGACGGGGUACGGCGGCGACGGCGACCGUGCUGCUGUUGUUGGGUGGUCGUCGGCUGGCGUCACCCUCCCCUAAAUUAUCAAAUUCCGUCCUGGUUCAUUUAACCUACCUUCCUCGGCAGCGGCGGCGGCGGCGGCGGCGGCCAACAACGGUCGUCUGGACUCGGCGAAGCAUCCAGGAAGCAGCAUGGCAAUUGAACGUUCUCCCCCGGCCCAGGAUUUUUUUUUGCGGCAGGCCCAUUUCUGUGGGCCGGUAUGCUUCGCUCAGCAUGCGGCCCAGCACGCGCCCGCUCAGCGUGCGGCCCGGCUCCCUUCUCUCUCGAAAACCAGAGCACCGGCAGGCGCCGUGGCUCCAUCCUUCCUUCCCCGUCGGCACUCGCAGCCGCCGCCGCCGCCGCCGCCGGGCGCCGGGAGGCGACUAACCUCCUGCCCCGCCCUGCCGCCGCGCGCCGCCGGCUCCUGGGAUUCUCUCGCCUCAGCGCACGAGGCCUGCCGUGACCGUCGGACGGAUCUUCCCUUCCCCACCUGCGGGGACUGAACUGGACACCGCCCUGUCCCCGCCGGUGCCUGGUUAGUGGUUCGUCUUGUUUCCUCCUCGUCUACAUUUCAACUAGGCUGGAUGGAUUCGUUGGAGCUUUAGCUUGUUUAGUUAGCACGUCUGAUCCAGGGUGAGAUUGUGUAAAAAGAUCGGAUUUUUAGGCCAGAUACGAGUUGGAUUCCCAAGUCGAAUUGUACUUGGAUAGUCUUGUCAGGAUAGUCUUGGAUCCACGUAGCUGGAAUUCUUGAGUUAGGCUAAUAUUGAGAUAGUUCGUGGGUUGGGGCUUGGCGCGGUUAGGACUUGGCGUGGGCGCUUAGGUUUUGCUCGGUUGAUUUGCCUCAUCUGGCUACCAACUGCUUGGCGCGUGCCUGUUGAUGAUACUUGGGUGCCUUUGGCUCUGGUUGUUUAGUAGUUUCCUUUUCCAUUUCCAGGCGACUUUAGGGCAAGCGGCAAUGGAUUUUGCAAUAUAUUUUCUGCUGAAUUAUUGUCGUCAUGCCGAUGAGAAAAGUGGUGAUAUAAUGCUUCAUCUAGAUAUACCUGUAAUUAGUCUUUGGUUUUUGAAUGUUGCAGGAGAGCCCGAUUGCACGCUUCGGAGAGUCUUAACUCGUUCCUGCUACACUCCACCCCUGUCAGCAAGAUGGCACGCCAAUCCGCUAUCUCGCUCAUGAGAGAUCGGGCCAAGGUGGGGGCGCUGAAGCGUCUAACUCUGAGCUCGUCGAAGACUGCGGGUAGGAACUCGUCCGGGCGCAUCACCUCUUUCCACCGUGGAGGAGGGGCCAAGAGGUUGCAGAGGAAAGUCGAUGUGAAGCGGGGCACCUCUUCCCUGGGCAUUGUCGAGCGGAUUGAGUAUGACCCGAAUCGCUCCUCUAGCAUUGCUCUGGUUCGAUGGGUCCAAGGGGUACAUUUCCGCCGCCGCAAGAUUCCACAAGAGCUCAGUACCAACUCUCACACCCCAGGAUCUACCACGGCAGAUGUCUCCAGUCGGUUUUCCCUUGCGGCAUUGUCUGGUAGAGAGCAUAAAGGAAAGGAAGCUGCUUCUGCACUGUACUCUUCUCUGGGCAAUGGAGAUAUUCCUUCUGUUAACUCUGGUCCAUCAUUGAGCUUACCUAGGAUAGCUCUAGCUGGUGCCAAGCCUGCUUUCUUCACUCAAGUCAGAGGAAAUGAAGAAGGAAAACAGACAUUUUCUCUUUCUGAGAUUCAGAAAUGGACAACAGAUGAUGUGCUUUGGGCACAGAGAAUGAAGCGUCAAGCUGCUCUCUCUUGGCAGAAUGAUCUGAAGAAGAAACCUUUGCUUCUGACACAAGCUAACCGCUUCAGUAGCUUGGCAGCAAAGUCUGUUGGUACGAGUAAAGGGCCAAAGGGAAAGGUUGAUUGUGUGCCAGUAUCCUAUGUAUUGGCCAGUCACCAAUGCCUGCCAGGUAGUACAGUGAUGAACUAUGAUUCCUCCAAACCUUCUAAGAGUUCAGCCUCUUCACCAAGUUCCUCAGCUAAUCAGUAUGAUAUAAUUGACCUCAACUCAAAGGUCGGAAAUUGCAUACCAUUAGCCAAUGCACGAAUUGGAACAUGGGUGCAUGAUAUUGAAUGUCGUCCUGGUCAGGGUGGGAAGAUGGUUCGAGCAGCAGGUACAUAUGCUAAGGUAGUCCAGGAGCCAGGUGCACAGUGUGUUCUGCGCCUUCCUUCAGGUGCUGAGAAGAUUGUGGAUUCAAAAUGCCGUGCUACAAUUGGUAUAGUCUCUAAUCCAAGCCAUGGUACGCGCAAGCUAAGAAAAGCAGGGCAUAGCCGGUGGUUAGGCAGGCGCCCUGUUGUCCGUGGUGUUGCUAUGAAUCCUGUGGAUCAUCCCCAUGGUGGAGGUGAGGGACGUACCAAAGGAGGCAGGCCUUCAGUUUCUCCCUGGGGAAAGCCCACUAAAGCAGGGUACCGGUCACCAAGUGUGGCCAGCCGUAAAGCUUAGUGUGCUGUAACAAAGCUCUUAUUGGAAUGAUGCUUUUUUGUUUUCUUAUUGUUGAGAAAAUAAAGAACAGAUGUUGGUGGCAGAGGGAACUGUGUGAUACAUCAACUUUGGUUGUGAUGUAGUCAGCAGACAAAGAAGAUAGUUUUCAUUCCAAUGCUUGUCAUCAAAACUCAUUACUGGAUUUCUUCUUUAUAACCUUUUGUUUCGUAACUGGUGGCAUAUUUGGUUUUGGUGCUACUGUUCUGAUGGAGAAGGGAUGUUCUAAUAUUUUUGACAGAGGCUUGUUUCAGAAACAAGAUACUCAUGUUGGCAUAUUGUUCCUGUUCUUUUCUUGUCUGUUAACAUAUUGUUCAUAUUUUAUCAUGUCUGGGUCUGUCACUAUGUGUAUUCUGUGCAGCGAAUGUGGUAGACUAUUUCAAGAUAAGAGUUCUGAUUUCUUGCAUUGCAAAUUUAAAUUGAAGUUCAUAUAACGUGAACCGAUAAAUAAAUAAUGUGUAUGUCCAACUUUUCUAUACAUGUGCUAUUGUUCUCGCUGCGGCGCAAGAUGCCGCGCGCGCAGGAGCAGGAUGUGCCCGUGGAGCCGUCGUGCUCCUCUCCUGUCCGCAUACGGCCCCGGCCGGCCAGCAACUGACCCCUCGCACCUCGGUGCCGUUCAUCGGCGUGGAGCUCUCCCCAAUCAGGAGGCUGUGGUGCCCCGACCAUUCACAGCAAAAACAAAGGCUUGUUUUCAGGCCUUUUUGCGACUGGUGUCAGCAAUGCGCUCAUGGUGGGACCGUAGGUGAAGUGAAGGUGAAUGCUUGGCCUUAGUGUAUGAAUCUGCUUGGACUAGUACAGAUGAAUAACGUUAUCACGAACAAUUUGCGCUUGGAGUACAGCAAGCGUUGUUGUUUGGAUGACCCUGAAGCUCGAACGUCACAUUUGUUGACCACUAAAGCAAGGAAACUCUGAAUCCAAAAAUCGGCUGUCACAAGCAAUGGGACUGAAGUUGCUGAAACUUGCUGGAACAGAUGGUAAAGCCUGCUCUUCACCUACAAGUUGGGUCCAAAUGGAAACAAGGAGAGUAACGAAAGUGCCAAGCUCCGAUCUGUAGCAAGCUGUAGGGCAAAACUGAAAACGAAGAUGAUCGAUGUACUUGCUUAAAAAAUUCAGAUGAUCGAUGUUGCUGAACUUGCACCGGAUAGACCGACUCAGCAUAGCACUCGCAUACCACUGCUCCGCAGUAUUCAUCAUCUCGCUGUCAUGGAUGGAAUCGAAGUCUUUCUCGCCCCGUUUUUUCCUGCCUUGAUCUGCAGAGGAACUGAUGGCCAGCAUAUCCGACCUGCAACUGCAAGGACAUAACCCACCAUUGACGUCAGGGGCUUCACCGGCCAGGCCACAACCGGGAGCGUCUGACCUUGGCAUCCGGGGGCGCGGCCUCAGUUCCGCCGCCGCCGCCGCGAGCUCUCACGGCCUCUACCCACGCGACCGGAAUCGGCGAGGGGGACGGCGACCGGUCAAGCGGAGCCUCGAGCACGCGAGGAAGAAGAGAAGGGUCCCCGUUUGUCAAUAUGCGCCGCGAUCAUGGCCGCAGAUGUCCGAUCCGACGGCUGUCAUAGAACAAGGGGUGGACGGUAUUUCAUUUACCGUCCACCCCCUGGGUCGGGCUGCCAGCCUGCCACUCGCCGGCGGGCGGCCGGUUAACAUUGUCGGCGCAACUACGCCAUCCCGUCCUCCGCCUGGAGUCCCCCAAGCCAUCGGCGAGCGUUCUGCUGCAGACGGAGACAGGACCGCCACCGGCCCGGCUGUGCCCGCCGCCGUGGACCCCAGAAGGCUAGAAGCACCAAUCGACGCUCCUCGGACAUCUCUCCUCACCACCGGCCACGCCGAUUCCGUACGACCACCUUCGCCCCCGCAAGAUGCCGCGCGCGCAGAAGCAGGAUGUCCGCGGCGCCGUCCGCGUGGAGCCGUACGUCGUCGUUGCUGCGCCGUGUCGUGCUCCUAGAGCAACGACUGCCCCUCAGCCCUCGCACCUCUGUGGCAUUCAUCGGCUAGGAACUUCCGCCAAUCCGGAGGCUGUGGUGCCGCGACCAUUCACAAAUCACAACCAAUAGGGGCUUAUUUUCAGGCCUUUUUGCGGCUGGUGUGCGCAAUGCAUGCACUGAAGGUGAAUGCUUGGCCUUGGCGCGUAUGAAUCUUCAGAUGCAACUUGCUCCUACAAAUUGGGACCCAAGAAAAGUAACAAGAUUAACGAAAAGAGCCAAGCUUUGAUAGGCUUGAAGCUUUAGUGCAAAACUAAAAGCGGAGAUGAUCACUCUACUUGCACCACAGAGACCGAAUCAGCAUAACACUCUGAACCCUGAAGUAUCUGUGGAGCAUCUUUCCUGAACAUCUGACCGUUGUCAUGGAACCGAAGCCUAUCUCGCAGUGUCCUCCUUUAACUCCAUGAUCUUGAUGGAGCUUUUGCGCUAGAGUACGGCUGUGUGGUGGUGGCCUGGUGGGUGUGUUCCUGAUAAACAUAAACUAGAGAUGGUGGAGUCCAGCUCCAAUCUGUUUCUCCCGUUUUGUUGCAGAUUUUUGCUGGUUCGCUCUAGAAUACUUCCGCGCCGUUUGGAGCCGCUUAUUUUCGCGGUGCGGCAGCCCACCGUGCCGAAUCAUGCACCUAACGAUGGAAUGGGAAUCAUGGACUGGUGGAUCCACAAACGAGAGGCAACGAAUGCUCGGCUGAGGCAAGGCUUGGACUCUAUCUUUAUGCUAACUUCUUGGAAAUUAUGGAAGGAACGAAAUGAUCGGGUGUUCACCAGAAGCUCAUUCAAGCAACCGACACAGCUGGUGCAGAGUAUUUUGGAGGAGGCGCUGCUAUGGUCUUGCGCAGGCGCUAAGCAGCUAUCCAUCAUAGGCUGGCCGGCACCAGUGGAAGCUCAACGUCAGUAACGUGUCAAGACCACAGCCCUCCGGUUGUUUGUUUCCAAAAUGUAAUACUAAAAAACUGAACCGUGUGCGUGUGCCCGGGAGGCCCGCGUUGUAAUUUGAACUAUUCUCUUCUUCUUAAUACAAAGAUAUGCAGCUCUCCUGCGUAUUCUUGAAAAAAAAACCGUGCCGAAUCGCGCCAAACGGGGCGCGGCUGCCGCGCGUAUGCGCACCGCGCUUCAGCUCCGCGGUUGAAUUUGAACUGCGUACCGCGAAACCGCCGCCACAGAAAAAUCGUCGCGAUACGGCACCGCGCGGCCGUGAUAAUCGCUAGUGUAGCAACCGUCGAAACAAACACGGCUUUUACUAGGCACCAAUGAAAUCAGGUGGUUCCUCUCACCACACAAUAGUCUGAGAAGCCACCGAAUUACGAGUCAAAAAGAUGUGAUGCUCUCUUAAGGACAAUGCUCAAAAGAAAUGACAGAAAAACCUCUAGCUAAAAACAAACAAGUUUUGUGAACCGAAACAAGUUUUGCGAACUUUUGUGAUCAAUUCGGGCUGGGCUGGCAUCUCAAAUUCCUAUGUUCGAGUCCCCAACUUCCUCCGGCCCACCCACCCUCGUAUUGCGGCCCAAGCUGCGCGAACAAGUGCCUCUGUGAGGGCAGUCCCAAUGGGACAUUGAUGAUAGUUUCUAUCCCUCUUAAUUGUCAUGCCAACUAAGCAAUUUGCUGAUGUGGCAGUAGAUUUAUUAUGGAGAGAGAGAGAAACCAUUUCUUAGAGAGGAAACCAAGUCCUCACGCGCACCAAUGAGCCAAGAAACCAGCGAUUCUGCAUUGGGGAGACCCAAGUAGUUUCUUCUUAAUUACUGCAGGAUCCUUUGCGCUUGCACCGCUGCUACCCAUCACUCGAGCUCCUUUAUAUGAUGCACAGAGGAUCUGGUACUAGAAGGGAGAAUGAUUGGUUGGAUUUUUAUUUAGACUCUAGAUAAAAAAAGUUGCAUUGUGAAGGAUGAUUUCUUGAUACAAUAUCAUAAACUAUGGAAACUAGGUUGGUUUCUCCUAUUGGGACUGCCCUGAGGCUCUCUGAGCCCAUGUCCCUCCCUUCUGUCCGUACGCGUGGGCCUCCCUGGCUCCCUCUCUAGCCCCCUCUCGUCCUCCACCCGCUCGCCUGCUUCCUCCUAUCCACGAGCGCAGCGCAACGCAGGGGAGGAGGGGGCGGAGCCGAGCCACGGAGCAGAAGCGAGGCGCACCGCAGCAGCAGGAUGCCGACGCUGAUCCUGAGCACCAACGUGCCGGUGGACGCCGUCGUCGCCGCCGACAUCCUCAAGGACUGCUCCAAGGCAGUCGCCAGGAUCAUCGGCAAGCCCGAAUCCGUAAUGCACCCUGCCUGUUCGACGCUAUGCCUCUUUAACUGCUUAUUAGGCUUCGCAGCAUCUUACCUAGCUCCGGCACUUGACCAUGCAUUUCAAUCAGCUGCUACCGAUAAACUUAAGAGUUCAAUUUGCUGCAGUACGUCAUGGUGUCCAUAAACGGGUCGGUGCCCAUGUCAUUCGCGGCGAGCGAAGAGCCAACGGCGUACGGUGAGCUCGUCUCCAUCGGCGGGAUCGGCCCCGGCGUCAACGGCAAGCUGAGCGCGGCCGUUGCUGAGAUACUGGAGACCAAGCUCUCGGUCAGCAAGUCCAGAUUCUACAUCAAAUUCGAUGAUGUGCAGGUACUACGCGCAAUCUUAUGCUUCAGCUCAGAUCAACCGUGUUCGCUCGCUUCCCUUCCAACCGUUUGAAUUUGUCUAUGAUACUCGAUAGUAUUCCAGUAUUGCAACUUUACGAUCUGUACUCAUAAGCCUUAAAUUCCUAUGUGCUACAGCGACACAACUUUGGCUUCAACGGGUCGACAUUCUAAAGAAAAUUCCAUCAGAAGAAGAUGAUUGCUGCGUCCAAACAACCACCUCAACCUGCCCACACAUACCGCCAUCAGUUCAUCAAUAAACGUGGAUGAUCAAGGGUUUCAUCACUUCAUGUGUAUCUCCUGCACCUCCAAGGGAUAUUCCGCUUGUGUGAGACAGCACUAAUUUUAUAUGCUUUAUUUCAGCAUGCCGUCGUGUACCUCAUCCCUCAUUUCAUGAUACAUCGUUCUUCAGUAGAACUCAAUUAUCUCUUUCUGGCAUUUGAGCUUCAAACUAACUUUGCAAAAAAACAAAAGGGACUUAAUUUCACAGCACACAUCACUGCAGUGCCAAUCAAAAGGAGCCAGACAAAUAAUACCGAAAAUGCAAUUCUACUGCCCUAAAAAAAUGUGAACAAAUAGAACAGGAAUUGUACUCGUGCACACCUCAGAAACUAAAUAGCUGGAACCAAGGCCUUCAGAUUUCCAUACAGCAGAUCAGAGUCUAAAAUUACGAUACAGCAGAUCAGAGUCUAAAAUUACAAAGUCUUAAUACCGAGUUCCACUUCACAUACUCAUACAACAACGUGGUCCAUGUACUACAGAAACAAGAAAACCCCCCACACAUCUUAUUGAGCACAUAUUUACACAAGAGGUCACCUGACAGCAGUCUGAUACAUAUAGUGAUAACUUGAUAGGUGCUGUAAUCGCAGUAAG